UUUUUUUUUUUUUUUUUUUGUCGUAAGAAUAAUAUUUGUAUAACCUACUCUAAUUUAAUCUAAGAGAAGAAGGAGUUGACGGAAUUUUUCCGUCGAAAAAAGUCACAAUUAAAUGGCAAAAUGGAAGGUCAAGAUUGACUUCCCAUUCCACCAAAAAUGGCAAAAAGUCACAAUUAAAUGGCAAAAUGGAAGGUCAAGAGGCUGUUGGCAGAUUCUCUUUUGUAACUUUUUUUUUUUUGGUCAAACAAUUACACAUAAGUUAGAUUAAAAUUAGCUGAAACAUUCUGAGGUUGAACCUAAGAGGACCACAAGAAACAUCCAUCCAUCCAGCCAAUUGAUGACAGGAAGGUACUCUUGUCGAGAUUCUCCUUUGUACUUGAGUGUCCAAAAACUUGUAGUGUCAGAAGAGUCACUUUGGUUGGUUAUUGCAGGGAAUGGAGCACUUGCAUUUGGCGCAUGGCCUAUUAUAGGGCAUGAAGUUUUUCAAAAACUGUUCUUUCUGAUGAUGACAAUUAAUAUAAAGUAAGGGAUUGGGUUUACCCUAGAAGCAAUACAACAUUGUUGCUUAUCUGAAGCAGAAACCAAUGUAUUCAGAUUGAAAUUUCGUAAAUAAAAGAUCUACCAACCCCACGCGUAACCCUAAAAAUAGUUUAUGUCAUGGUACGUACUAGACCUCAAAUGAUUUUGAAGCUUUCUUUUGUACACUAACUAGAAUUGUAGUUCCUGAGCAGAAUUCCUAAACAAUGAACUUUUGGCUCGAUCUUUUAUUUAUUUAUUUUUUUUUGGAACAUUAUUCAUAGUUAUUAAAUCCUAUCAAACUCGACGAUUAAACCUAUCAACUCGAUAAAUUAACCAUUUAACCUCGGGUAAGACCUUAGACCAAAUAACAGAGGAACUCAUUGACCAGACAAUUAUUUAUGAAUUUAAUAGAUAAACUCCAGAAAAUUGGUUGGUUCAAAUAAUUAUAUUAUUCUUACUUAUUUAAAUAUAGUGUUUUAUUAUAUUAUAGUUGCAUCGUUUGAAACUUGAGCUUGAACCAUUGGUCCGUUGAAUUGGUAACCUUAUCGGGGUCAUAUUAUUUGUUACACACACAUAUACAUGUAUACAUACAUACAUGCAUAUAUAUAUAUAUAUAUAUAUAUAUUUUCCAGCAUUAUUCAGUGUAUAGUUAUUGUAGUUUUUUUUUUUUCAUCUUUUUGUCCUAUCUCGUAUUAAUAUAUCUACUCUGAUCGAUGUUAGGUGUAGAAAAAGGGAUUGAAUUGUUCGGAUAUUCGUGCAAGAACAUGGGAUGGUUGGGGGCAGCGUGAAACGUUUUAUUAAUACUUGCAUUGUGGGAUCCUUAACAUGCAAGUUAGUAUGUUACCACAGCCAUCCACUCAAAGAAUUUGCUCGGUGUCGAAAGACAACACAACGUGGCCAAGCCACCAAACACCACAAGACACCCAACAAUCCCGUAUGAAUGAAUAUAUAUAUUGAAAAAGCAAAAUUCUUCAGAGAAGAAAAUUUUAUGUUUGUCACGUACAACUGGCACAUACACGAAUGACAAGGAAUCAUGUGCACUCUUGACCAUUCUUCUUCAACGACGUAACAUUUCUUGGAUGAAUUGGAUUUUGCUGGAUGAAUGAACGAGGUUCAAUUAUCUUUAAGGAAAAAGACGAUUUAAUAUUAUUGUCUAAAAAGACAAUUGAAUGAGCCAAGAACUGAUGUUUUGUGUUUGUCUCUACUCUACAAUUAGAGAUCAAAAUCGAGAUGUGCAGAAAUUUUGAACAAGCAAGAACUACUAGCCAAUAAACAUAAACAUAGCACAAGAGCUAUCGCAACAGGAGAGCCAAGUGUUUAAUUAAUGGAAAUACUGUUAGAAAGCUGAUCUUCUGCAGUCUAAUUAAGAUUUCAUUGCACUUAAUCUAACUCAAGAAGUUACAGUGCUUAUUAAUCAGAAUUUCUCCUGAUUAAAGAACAUAUUUAUUUUGUUUGGAUGAACAGAAAACCUACCGACCAAUAUGAGCAAUGAAAGAAUCCAUCUCCAAGCGACUAGUACCGCCUUCCAUAACAGAAUCCUUUACUGCUUUGCUCAAUUCUUUUGCCCUUUGCCUCAUCUCUUCUCCUUCAGCUGAAUCCAUCAAUCUUCUCACAGCAUUUUCAACAGCCAUGGAUGUCUCAAGUUCGUCUUGCCGAGACCAAUCCCUUACCGACAGACCAAUUUUCAGCACCUUUUCCAGUAGUAUUGCGUUUCUGUACUGGUCAGUAUGCAUAGGCCAUGCCGCCACCGGCACUCCCAUGCUAAUGCUCUCCAUACACGAGUUCCAUCCGCAGUGGCUCAUGAAUCCACCUGUUGAUGAAUGUCCAAGAAUCUCCAGUUGGGGUGCCCAAUCCCUCAUAAUUAUUCCUCUUCCUUCAGUUCUUUCUUCGAAUCCUCCGGGCAACUGAACUCUCCUAACUUCUCCCUUGAAGACAUCUCCUUGAUCUCCAUCCUUCAGUAUCCAUAUGAACUUUUGCCCGCUUUUCUCUAAUCCAAUCGCGAUCUGCGUGGCUUCCUCGUCCGAUACUGAAGUAUUCGAACCAAAGCAAACAAAAAUGACCCAGUUUGGGCCUUGUUUGUCUAGCCACUCCAGGCAAUAGUGUCUCUGUCCCGUGUUUUUCUGCUCAUUGAUCUCAACUGGGUUGAAGGGACCAACAGCCCAUUGCUUGUGGGAAUCGGCAGCACUGGCUUUUGCAAGAAGAUCAAGGUAUGGACCCUCUAUAAACCUGCAUGUGUUGUACAGAUCGCCCCCAGAGCUAAUUGGCUUGGAUUCAUUUUGCAAUUUUAUGAAAUCUUUCAACUCUUGAGGUAAAGAACUUGCAUGUGAUGGAAGAUUUUCGAGUGCUUCAAGUAUUUCAGGCUCGAGUACUCUAGGUUUCCCUAUUUUUUCCCAAGAAUAUGCGUACGCGGUGAAGGCUGAGACGCUCAUAAAGCUAUAGGACUCUGCAUUGGGAAUUAAAUCAACAUCCUGGAUGACAUAUGGCGUAACGGAGUCAUAAAUAACCACCAAUCUUCUCGUUGUGCUAGAAAGUUGUUGCAGAAGUGCGUAAACUGGCUCCCGGAGUUUGAUGGAUGCUUUCAGCAUUGGGAUGAGUUGUACGGGAAAUUUUGUCGGGGCGUUUGGGUCGGGAGGAGGAGUUUCAUAAGAAGGGACAGGAAAAUCGUGGAAAUGGAUGUUGGAAAUGGCAAGAGGAUCCCAACCUUGUACUCGGACCUUCGCCUGGCGGGUGUGAGUGGCCGUGCCAACGUAGUGAACGGGUAUAUUGUAGGAGGAGAUGAGGCGGGAGAGAUGGAGGAGCUGGUUGAGAUGACCUUGUAAAAGAAGGGGAACCAUAACCACAGUUACUUCAUGUGUUUCUUCUUCUUGAAUGCUACCAAUUUGGUUUUGUGCAGUAGAAUGACCAGUUUUGGGCAUUGGCUGGAUUUGGGAUUUGGAAAGCUCUUUGUACUUUAGCUUGUCAGAAUUGCUUUGCUCUUAGAAGUUGUAAGAUGAAAGCUCUGCUAAUACUGUAGGCUUCUACAACUCAAGAGAAGCUUCUACAACUCAUCUUAAUUGCAAGUGGACCCUCUGCUAAUAUUGUAGGCUUCCUAACCUUCCCAAGAACUCUUUCCAUGAUUGGUAAUAUUAUUGCAAGUGGAACCUCUGUUAGCGGACAAAGUUGGAAAGUACUUGACCAUCAAGAUUGCUCUGUUGGCAAAAUUUGACUUUGAUCCAAGUACUCAUCAGUUAUUCGAUCUGGGUUUCCAUCAUCCUUACAGUUACAGCAAGGAAGCAGCAAAUUUGACUUUGAUCCAAAUACUCAAAUUGUUGGAUCUGUAGUAGGACCGACGCGCGGGUUUUACUGCAGUUACAGCAAGGAAACAGCAGAAGAAUUGUACAGAAGAUACGAGCAUCGAGGACAAGGUGGAGGGUCGGUUGUUGUUGUCCCUUAAAUUGUUAUACUUCCUCUCUCCCAUUUUAAUAGUUCUAAUUUUUUUUCAUACAAUUUAAAAAAAAAUAAUUAAUUUUAUUAAAAAAAUAAAUUUAAAUUAUUAAUUUUCUAAAAUACCCUUACAUUAUUGUUUCCUCAAGUGGAAGAACAACGGGGGCUACAACAACAAUGAAAAAAUAAAAACAUUGAGAAAAAGUUGUUCAAACCAUCAUAAAGGAGAGAAGAUUGAAUUGUCCAAAACAAUUUGUGGAAUUGGAGUCCGAUUAUGAUUCUAGUAACUAUAUUUUGGAUGAAAGUUUUUUCAAAUCUGAUAAAGGGAAAAGCUAUUUAAAAUCUGAUAUUUUCCUUGAGAAGAGGAAAAUUUAAGUCAGAGUUCUUCCAUUGUUAAGUUUAGUAUUUCAAUUUUGAAGGAUUAUUAUUACUUUACCCCCUUAGUGUUUGGUGUUACUAUCAAUUUUUCCCUUAACUUUGUUUUUUAGUCAUUUUACCUACAAAAUUAAAGAUCAAACUUAAUGAAAUUUAUUAAUUCAAGUCAUAAGACAUGUUUAUCUUUUAAAAUCAUUAUUACUUUACUCUCAUAAACUAUAUCUUUAUUAUUAAUUUACCUCAUAGAGUUAUUUUUUAGAUAAUUUAUCCCACCAUUAGACCAACUUAACAAGUUAAAAAAUUUUAGAAGAAAGUACUCUCUUUUUGUAUAAUAAAAACAAUAAAAAAGUUAGAGUAGCCCUUCUCCUUUUUAGUAUCAAGGAAAAGAAAGUCAAAAUAUUAAUCUCUUUCUUCUUGACAAUCUUAUUAAUAUUGGAAAAAUAGAAUAUUAGAGAGAGAGAGAGAGAGAGAGAGAGAGAGAGUAAAAUACCUAGAAAAUUAUGUUAGAGAGUUAAGCGAUUGUACUACUAUAAUUUAAAGGGAUAAAGUGAUAAUAAUGUAGUAAUGUUAUAAAAUAAAAGAGAAUUUUUGUCAAAAAAUUGUUAACAUAUUAAGUUGAAUUACCUAUGGGGUGAAGUGACUAAAAAAUAACGUUAGGGGGUAAAUUAAUGUAGUAAUAUAUUUUAUGGGGGUAAAGUGAUAAUAACCCAAUUUUGAACCAAAUAGUUGGAGGUGGGAAGAUUAUGGUGAGGGGUGGUAGAUUAAAAAAAAUGGAAAAUUUAAGUCAAGUCUCGAGAUUUUGUUACAGAUCCAAAAACAUAUGGAACAUAUUGGGACGAUUUAUUUGUAAUAGAAUUUUGCCGAGUAAACUCUUCCAUGUAAGCUUGACGAGUUAGUGUUAACGAAUGUCCAGUUCUACACCCGCCAAUCACUUCAAACUCUAAUUACAUUAUCUUUACAUUAUCUAUCAUUAGGGACAAUGAAAAAGGAUAAGAGUAUAAAGUCAUAUAGAUCCAAUUUAAACAAAAGAUUCUGAAAUCUAAUUUUACACUUCUUUUAUUCUCAUUUGCGAAAAUUAAAAUCAUGAAAAUAAACUACCUAUCAUGAAUACAGGCUAGUAAUUCAAAAUGUUGAAUGAAAAGAUAAGAAAUAUGUUCUUCACAUCCUAAAUUUUUGGCCCCAACAAUUAUUUUACAUAUCAAUAACCUUAUCUAGUAAAUAAGCAUUUUUCACUAUUAAGAAACUUUAUAUAAAUCAAAAUAUCAAAAUAUAAUUAUCUAUCCAUAAAUUAAGAGACUCUAAUUAAUUUUAAUUCAACAGGCCUCAACAUUUCCUUCCUAAUCAUUGUUUUCCUUGGAUCUUCAUUUGUCAUAUUCUUUUUCCUCUGCUCUAGCACUAUCACCCUAUUAUCAAAUAACAAUUUUAACAAAUAAAAAAUUAAAAUUAAAAUGAAUACGUAUAAUGGAGUUAUUAUUUUAUGGGGGGAAGUAGUUACAAUUCUUUCAUUUUAGCCUAAAGAUUUUUCAUGGAAUCAAUACCCGUCUUCUUGUCAGCCACAGGGAAUUUUUUUUCCAAAAAUAAAAAGGACACAGAAUAAAUAAAAAUUUUAAAAAAAAUGAAAAACCACAUUUCUUUAGAUUUAAGGGGAAAAGUAUUUAUAGCAUCACAUACAAACUUCAACUUGCCUUUGUUAGGGCGCAAAAGAAAGUCAGAUAAAAGGAGGAAGUCGUAAGAAAAGGAAUAAGCAAAGGUUUCUAAUUAGGACACAAAAAAAUGACAAAAAAUAAUAAAUAGUAUAUACAAAGAGAGACGGUAAAAGUAGAAGAUCAUGAAUCAUGAUUAUUGGACUAAGAAAGAAAAGAAAUAUCAAACCCAAUCUUGAUCUCCUACAACUAAACCAUUCAUUUAGUUAAUUAUGGAUAAAAUUGAAAGAAAAUGCAUCAACUAAUUCAAUUGAGAAAAAAAGUAGAGUAAACGAUUUGGAUGAAGGGAAGAAAAGAAGAGCAGUACAGAGUGAAAACUAAAUAAGGAAUUUGCAGUGUAGAUAAGAGUUCGUUUGGUUGUCCUUAGCAAAACAACAGAAAGGAAAUAAGGUGAAAAAAAAGGAAGCAAAAGGAAGAAAAGAAAAGGAAUGUGCCAUGUGUCAAAAUGAAGGGAGAGUCACUUGGCAACCAUUGAACUUGCUACAAUAGCUCCACUUUCUUCUUAUAUAACUAGGAGGUUUUCGGCUGUGCUUAUAAUCUGUUGUCAUAUAUUUUUGUAUAAGAUAAGAUUAAUAGUAAUGUUUGUGAAAUAGCAUUCUUAAAAUCAUAAAUUACCAAUCAAACAUGUGGCUAACAAUAUAAGACUAAACAAAAUCAGAAAACCAUCAACAUUGCAAAAGAUAAAAGAAGAUGACAAAAGAUUGGCAAGUAGUUUUACAAAUAGCUUCAUAUCUUCAAGUGUAAGUUAGUCUUACAGAGACGGGAGAAGACAUGCUGAAUACUUAAUAUAAAGUGCAAUGAUAAGCUGCAAUUACAAAAUAUCAAAUAUUGAAAUCCAUUAAGUUGCACAAAAGAACAAUUUCUUAAUGGAUGUCAAUAUUGUGUCAAAAGAUGCAAGAUUAGCAAUUCAGCUAUAAAGUGCUUCAAGAUUAGCAAGAUUAGCAAUUCAAAAGGCUUCAAGCAAGUUUAGAGUUCGUUAUUGUGCUGCUUCUUCAAGGGACUUCUUGGUGCAAGAUUAGUUGGAGCGAAAGCUGAGAGUGCAUUGGUGGGCAGUGAGGCAGGUGUAAUAGCUUCAGCAGAAUUUGAUCCAAUUUUAGGAGGUACAGUUCCAAAAGCCAAGGCUCUCUUUGCUGUGGUCACUAGAGGCUGCACUUUGUUUGUAGUAGUAGAAGUUUCAGCGAUGGUAUCAAGCAGUUUUUUGGUUGAUGGAUUGAAAAAUUCAUUUUUGUUAGCAGACUGUAGCACAGUAGCAUGAAGGUCUCGAAUUUUUUCAUUCGUUUCUGUAGCCGUGAUUGCCAUUGGAAUGUGAGCUGAUUCCUCAGUAGUGUAUACCUUGAAAAUAUUAUACUUGCCUUCCUUCUAGCCUUGAUAAUCUGCCUCAUAGUAGCGGAUAAAACACACAAUCGAAUGUUUUCCGAUUGCAGAUGCUAGUUCAACAGAAAAGUUAAGCUCCUACAAUUUUUUGUUUUAAAGUAUAUAUAAUUAUCAAGUGUAUCCUGAAAUAUUAGCUAUUUGUUUGGAAUUAGAAGUUUUUAUUGUAUAUUUUGCUCCUAUACACUUUGCUGAUAUAUAUGAGUAGGCCUAUAUAAUAUGCCAAUAUAUAUAUGAGCUCUUUGUCUGUUUUAAUAACAUUUGACUACUACUAGUGUGAGAACCCGUAUUUCCCUAAUAUUUUCCUAGGGUUUUAGUUCCUUUAAUUGCGUAAUUUUUGCAUUUUCUGGUUUAGAAAUAUUUUCUGGAUGGAUUUUAUGAGCAAUUAUGGUUUUGAGAUGAUUUUUCUAGCAUUGGAGAAUUUUUAAAAAAUUAAGAAUAUAUAUUGGACGUGGGACCCACUAGUGCGAAAAGUUCGGAAAAAUUCGGCCAAUUAGGUUAAAUUUCGGAUACUGGUGGAAAUUUAUCGGGUGUUAAGAGAUAAGUAGAGGGUGACAUGGCAUUGAUGUGAGAGGAAUCAAGUGAUAGGAAGGCAUUAAAUGAAGUGCCAAGUGGCACUAUGUGAUUGGUCCACUUGUUGGACAUUUUUGACUUUUCUUACCAUGGAUUAAAUAUCUCAAAAAUUGACUAAAAAAUUCACUCUUUCUUACCUCUUGUUGGCCGACUCUUGAGAGCUCAAGAAGGAAGAGAAUUGCUUCAAAUUUCAAGCUUCCAUAUAGCUCAAUCUUCCAAACCACUUGCCUAACUUAGUUUCUAUUCCAUAAAAGCCUUCCAUUAGGUGCUAGUGAGUUGCUUAGUGAAGUUUUUUGGAAGAGCUAAGGUGGUCUACAACUCCUCUUCUCUUGUUUACUAGGUAAGUGAUGAUUGAACAUUCUUUUAUAGCUAAUGAUGUUGAAUUUAUGCCUAAUGGUGGCUAUUGUGUUAGAAAUUGUGGAUUAUUUCUUGGUUUGAAGUGAUUUGGUUGAGUUUUUUAUUUUUUGAGGAAUUUUCUGGUUUCAUAUCAUCUUGAUGGUGUGGUUGUUUUUGAUGGUUGGUAAUAAGGGGCUUUGGCUCUAGUAGGUGCAUAUGAUAGAAAAUUGCAAUCAAUUUUGGAUUUGGAAGAAUUUCUGGAAAAUUUGGGUUCUUGGUUGAACAUUCUGUCUGAAAUUUUAGGUCAUAGAUAGAGGCCGAAUUGGACUUUACUCAAAACAUGAAAGUUGUAGGUAUUGAUGAGUUUGAAGUGCCUGCAAAAUUUCAGGGCAUUUGGAGUAGUGUAGAGUGAGUUAUGCCGUUUUUACUGUUGCUGUUCUGGGUGAACAGAAUGUGCGAACUGCGAUAGUAAUUGUCUGUUUUGACUGGAAUUGGUUUGGAUUUUGUUGUUGGUGUCUUCUGAUGAAAUGUAGAGGGAUGUCUUAGCUACCUUAUGCCUUUGGAAUCAAUGCAUUUGGACCUGUAUAGACCGAAUUAUACUGAUUACAGUUUUGUGUGAUUUGUAAACCUGCAAUUACGGUUCAGGUUGUGGUAUUCUGCAGUUUCGACCUAGUUGUGCUAGGAUUUGGACUGAGUGGCCUUCUACAUUAUUGUAGCCCUGUUUCAUAGCUUCGAAACGGUGGGUCUUACACCCCCAUCCGAUGACCGUAGAGAAUUUUACACCAUUACCGCAUAAUAAGGGCAAAACAGUUUUCUAUUUGGGGCCAAGACUAAAGCCAUUUUCUAAUUUCUGGUUUGCUAUUAUGCUCAUUUAUGCAUAUGAAACCCUAUUGGGGUUGUGUUUAGCAUUGCUAUAUGACUCGUUAUCGAGUCUCUUUUAGGGCUUGCUUUCAUUUCGGUUGUUUCCUACCUAACUUUUGUACUUGUACUACUUUGAGCCUAGUGAACGGCUUUUGGGAAUGAGAUGACUUUUGUGUGAGGUGUUGGGACUGAUUUGAGGAAAUAAUGAAGCCUUAAUGGCUGGAAAAGUAAGAAUUUAGGGGAAGUGCUGCCCGAUUUUCUAGGCCGUUUGGUUCUUUAAGUUGGAUUUGCCUUUUGGUGAAAAUGAAAGGACUUUUGGGUUGCUUGAGCCUAGAUUUUCAUGUUACCCUUUUAUUCCCGAAAAUCAGGUUUUGCACCCUUGCAUUAGUAAUUAUUUGGUGAGGUAUACGACUAGUAGUCGAGCCUCACAUGUGCACUCUGUUUACUCGAUUCUGGAUGUGAAACCUUCAAUUGGUUUAUUUUGAUUAUUUUAGGGUUUCUUGGCGAUUAAGGCCAAUCUGAAGUGAAAACUUUUGAAGUUGAGCCGGUGAGUGUACCACUCCCCUCCAUUGCUGUUUAACUUGAUUUCUGCUCUGCAAUCUGUUUAUUUGUUCGAGACGAGGGUGUACUUUAUCACACUCGUUCUCUAGUCUGUUCAUAUGCCAAUUUACUAUGCAAAAUUUGAAUCUGUUAUCUGUGUCUGCAUCUGUUCGGAUUUCUAUGACCUAUGAGCUCAAUCCUGUGGCUAAGUUAUUCGAGUCGGGCCGGCAAGGGCCUGGACGAUUAGAUAACGAACCACGGUAGUCUGUUCGGGAUUGUGGGUAUUGAGACCCUUGAUUCCGGGUAUACUCGAGUAUUACCAUUUCUGUUCGGUUACGGUGAGCGGGCCCGGCAAAGGGGUGUUUGGUGGACGGAAUUCGGUGUAAAGAGGGGUCUACGGACGCGUUGGUUCUAUAUACGUUGACGGAGAGUCAACUGGUUUGGAUCAAGUACUGCGCUGAAAAUUUGGCUCCUGAGAGCCACCUGUAUCCUUCUGAUUUGAAUCAUUAGUUCCUUUGCUUUACAUCUGAUUUGUUAAAUGUGAAAUGUCAUGAUUUUAAUGCUAUCUGUUUGGUACCUCAUUGAGCGCAAGCUCACCCCGUUCUGUUCCUUUUGUUUUCCUUACAGGAAAAAUAAAUACUUUUGGUCUGGAUUUGACAAAUGGCUGCCAAAUUGAGCUAGUGGAACAUAUCUUUUGUAUAGCUCAUGUAUUAAAACCCUAAGCGUACUUUUGGGGCGUUUUCUCUUUUGAUUUGGCAAACCGUGUAUAUGUAUCAACUUUUGAAAACUUUUGUAUGUCAUUUUGGAUUGUUAUCGCUAAAGUUCCGAUAUGAGUGUUUGUGUGCUCUUUCGAUUGGGUUCUGACGGGUCGGUUACUAUUCAUGGCCGACUCCGACUUUGUUUUUUUUUUAUUUUUGUGGGUUCGACUUGUUUUCACGCGGUGGUAUGACCCGAAAAGUAUUAGAUCGUGCUAAUCUGAUCCGUAGUCCUGGCGAGAGCUGAGCAGGCAGUCCGCUAACCCCUUUGGUUCGCCUUAGGGGAAAGUGGGGUUGUUACAAGUGGUAUCAGAGCCACGUCGCGUGGUCUCUGCGCGGAGUGAGACUGGGCCAAGUGGUGUUGUGGUCCUAAUUUCAUGAAUUUGUCUAAGUGCUCGUUUGAGCGUAAGUUAUGAACCGGGUAUGUGAUAAGUGUACGAAUCAUUAUCAUGGGAAUCGAGGAAGCUAGGUAUGUAUGUCGGGUAGGAAUCUUUAAUAAGGAUGGUUUACUCUUGGGACCGGCCGGCUCGAGUUGUGAAUUAUCUUAGAUAAGAUUCUUGCGCCCGGAUACGAAAGAUAUGAGGGCCUAGGUUAGAAAGGAUUUGGUGAACUAGGAAAGCCAUUCCUCGGUGGAUCGUCUAUGUUUGUACUUGACUUAACUGGCUGUGUAUAUGUGUGUGGCUUAAUUUUGACCGGCUUGUAUAUAUAUGUUUUGAUCUUGUUUGGAAUGUAUAAAUGUGUGUUAUCAUAAAAGUUUUGAGUGUUACUUACAUGCAUCGUGCUUAUUUUGGUUUAGUAUUAUUGCCUAGACCAAGUAAAACUCAUGGAAGGUACACGGAGUGGUCGGGGACGUGGGCGCGGAACUAGACAACCCACACCGGUUAGGGGUACGGGGGAAACCUCUACUGGACCCAAUCUGGAACCGCAAGUAAACCCUAAUGUGCAAAUAGCUGCUGCUAUGCAGCAAAUGACAGACUUGCUAGCACAAGUGGUGCAGCAACAGGGCCAAAACCCAAACCCUAACCCUGGAAACCCUGGUAACCAUAUCGAGAGCGAAGACAGAGCUCUCGAACGAUUCCAAAAGUUCGCUCCGCCAAAGUUUGUUGGGGGACCCGACCCAGACGUUGCCGAAAGAUGGCUUGAAAAGAUGGUGGAUAUAUUUGCAGCCCUACACUACCCUGACGAACGACAGGUGACUUUUGCCGUGUUCCAGCUUGAGGGGGCAGCCCGUUCCUGGUGGAACGUAAUUCGGCAGAAGUGGGAACGAGAACAGACACCUAGGACUUGGGUGAACUUCAUCAGAGAGUUCAAUGCGAAGUUUUUCCCUCCCUUAGUUCAGGAAAGGAAGGAAGAUGAGUUUAUUCGACUCUGCCAAGGGGCUCAAUCAGUGGCGGAAUAUGAGAGCCAAUUCACCCGCCUAUCCAAAUUUGCCCCUGAACUGAUCAUGACCGAGCAGCGGCGAAUAAGGCGUUUUAUCCAGGGCUUGAACGUAGAAAUUCAGAAGGAUCUCGCGGUGGCCCAGAUUAAUGCUUUUAGCGAGGCCGUAGAGAAGGCGCAACGAGUAGAAAAUGCCAGGCUGCAGGUGAAGAACUUCCAAACCAAGAAAAGGAGCUUUCCUGGGAGUAGCUCUGAACAAGAAGGUACAAAUACACCCCCUAAGAUUGGAAAGGGAAACGGAGGAGUACGACAACCAGGGGUGUCGCGUGAUGUCCCUCAGGGAGGACCGGUCUCUGCUGCUCGUGGUCCCUGUGGAUAUUGCGGAGGGCCAAGUCAUACGGAAACAAAUUGCUGGAAGAAAGAAGGAAAAUGCUUGCGCUGUGGAAGCGCUGAACAUCGGAUUGCUAACUGUCCAGCUCGCCUGCGCGAGCGGAGAGGGACUCUGCCACCAACCAAGCCCAAUUCUCAGCAACCCGCCAAGAGCAACCCUGGACAGACGAAAGGAGAAGGGACGGGAUUGAAGGCACCAGCUCGAGUAUACUCUCUAGAGCAGCAUCAGGUCCCUGACUCAUCUGAGGAUGGAGAAGGUAUGGUCCGUUGGGUACUUUAGAUUUGAUAGAUUCCGUUGAUAAGAAAAUUUCGAGGACGAAAUUCUUUUAAGGGGGAGAGAGUGUGAGAACCCGUAUUUCCCUAAUAUUUUCCUAGGGUUUUAGUUCCUUUAAUUGCGUAAUUUUUGCAUUUUCUGGCUUAGAAAUAUUUUCUGGAUGGAUUUUAUGAGCAAUUAUGGUUUUGAGAUGAUUUUUCUAGCAUUGGAGAAUUUUUAAAAAAUUAAGAAUAUAUAUUGGACGUGGGACCCACUAGUGCGAAAAGUUCGGAAAAAUUCGGCCAAUUAGGUUAAAUUUCGGAUACUGGUGGAAAUUUAUCGGGUGUUAAGAGAUAAGUAGAGGGUGACAUGGCAUUGAUGUGAGAGGAAUCAAGUGAUAGGAAGGCAUUAAAUGAAGUGCCAAGUGGCACUAUGUGAUUGGUCCACUUGUUGGACAUUUUUGACUUUUCUUACCAUGGAUUAAAUAUCUCAAAAAUUGACUAAAAAAUUCACUCUUUCUUACCUCUUGUUGGCCGACUCUUGAGAGCUCAAGAAGGAAGAGAAUUGCUUCAAAUUUCAAGCUUCCAUAUAGCUCAAUCUUCCAAACCACUUGCCUAACUUAGUUUCUAUUCCAUAAAAGCCUUCCAUUAGGUGCUAGUGAGUUGCUUAGUGAAGUUUUUUGGAAGAGCUAAGGUGGUCUACAACUCCUCUUCUCUUGUUUACUAGGUAAGUGAUGAUUGAACAUUCUUUUAUAGCUAAUGAUGUUGAAUUUAUGCCUAAUGGUGGCUAUUGUGUUAGAAAUUGUGGAUUAUUUCUUGGUUUGAAGUGAUUUGGUUGAGUUUUUUAUUUUUUGAGGAAUUUUCUGGUUUCAUAUGAUCUUGAUGGUGUGGUUGUUUUUGAUGGUUGGUAAUAAGGGGCUUUGGCUCUAGUAGGUGCAUAUGAUAGAAAAUUGCAAUCAAUUUUGGAUUUGGAAGAAUUUCUGGAAAAUUUGGGUUCUUGGUUGAACAUUCUGUCCGAAAUUUUAGGUCAUAGAUAGAGGCCGAAUUGGACUUUACUCAAAACAUGAAAGUUGUAGGUAUUGAUGAGUUUGAAGUGCCUGCAAAAUUUCAGGGCAUUUGGAGUAGUGUAGAGUGAGUUAUGCCGUUUUUACUGUUGCUGUUCUGGGUGAACAGAAUGUGCGAACUGCGAUAGUAAUUGUCUGUUUUGACUGGAAUUGGUUUGGAUUUUGUUGUUGGUGUCUUCUGAUGAAAUGUAGAGGGAUGUCUUAGCUACCUUAUGCCUUUGGAAUCAAUGCAUUUGGACCUGUAUAGACCGAAUUAUACUGAUUACAGUUUUGUGUGAUUUGUAAACCUGCAAUUACGGUUCAGGUUGUGGUAUUCUGCAGUUUCGACCUAGUUGUGCUAGGAUUUGGACUGAGUGGCCUUCUACAUUAUUGUAGCCCUGUUUCAUAGCUUCGAAACGGUGGGUCUUACACCCCCAUCCGAUGACCGUAGAGAAUUUUACACCAUUACCGCAUAAUAAGGGCAAAACAGUUUUCUAUUUGGGGCCAAGACUAAAGCCAUUUUCUAAUUUCUGGUUUGCUAUUAUGCUCAUUUAUGCAUAUGAAACCCUAUUGGGGUUGUGUUUAGCAUUGCUAUAUGACUCGUUAUCGAGUCUCUUUUAGGGCUUGCUUUCAUUUCGGUUGUUUCCUACCUAACUUUUGUACUUGUACUACUUUGAGCCUAGUGAACGGCUUUUGGGAAUGAGAUGACUUUUGUGUGAGGUGUUGGGACUGAUUUGAGGAAAUAAUGAAGCCUUAAUGGCUGGAAAAGUAAGAAUUUAGGGGAAGUGCUGCCCGAUUUUCUAGGCCGUUUGGUUCUUUAAGUUGGAUUUGCCUUUUGGUGAAAAUGAAAGGACUUUUGGGUUGCUUGAGCCUAGAUUUUCAUGUUACCCUUUUAUUCCCGAAAAUCAGGUUUUGCACCCUUGCAUUAGUAAUUAUUUGGUGAGGUAUACGACUAGUAGUCGAGCCUCACAUGUGCACUCUGUUUACUCGAUUCUGGAUGUGAAACCUUCAAUUGGUUUAUUUUGAUUAUUUUAGGGUUUCUUGGCGAUUAAGGCCAAUCUGAAGUGAAAACUUUUGAAGUUGAGCCGGUGAGUGUACCACUCCCCUCCAUUGCUGUUUAACUUGAUUUCUGCUCUGCAAUCUGUUUAUUUGUUCGAGACGAGGGUGUACUUUAUCACACUCGUUCUCUAGUCUGUUCAUAUGCCAAUUUACUAUGCAAAAUUUGAAUCUGUUAUCUGUGUCUGCAUCUGUUCGGAUUUCUAUGACCUAUGAGCUCAAUCCUGUGGCUAAGUUAUUCGAGUCGGGCCGGCAAGGGCCUGGACGAUUAGAUAACGAACCACGGUAGUCUGUUCGGGAUUGUGGGUAUUGAGACCCUUGAUUCCGGGUAUACUCGAGUAUUACCAUUUCUGUUCGGUUACGGUGAGCGGGCCCGGCAAAGGGGUGUUUGGUGGACGGAAUUCGGUGUAAAGAGGGGUCUACGGACGCGUUGGUUCUAUAUACGUUGACGGAGAGUCAACUGGUUUGGAUCAAGUACUGCGCUGAAAAUUUGGCUCCUGAGAGCCACCUGUAUCCUUCUGAUUUGAAUCAUUAGUUCCUUUGCUUUACAUCUGAUUUGUUAAAUGUGAAAUGUCAUGAUUUUAAUGCUAUCUGUUUGGUACCUCAUUGAGCGCAAGCUCACCCCGUUCUGUUCCUUUUGUUUUCCUUACAGGAAAAAUAAAUACUUUUGGUCUGGAUUUGACAAAUGGCUGCCAAAUUGAGCUAGUGGAACAUAUCUUUUGUAUAGCUCAUGUAUUAAAACCCUAAGCGUACUUUUGGGGCGUUUUCUCUUUUGAUUUGGCAAACCGUGUAUAUGUAUCAACUUUUGAAAACUUUUGUAUGUCAUUUUGGAUUGUUAUCGCUAAAGUUCCGAUAUGAGUGUUUGUGUGCUCUUUCGAUUGGGUUCUGACGGGUCGGUUACUAUUCAUGGCCGACUCCGACUUUGUUUUUUUUUUAUUUUUGUGGGUUCGACUUGUUUUCACGCGGUGGUAUGACCCGAAAAGUAUUAGAUCGUGCUAAUCUGAUCCGUAGUCCUGGCGAGAGCUGAGCAGGCAGUCCGCUAACCCCUUUGGUUCGCCUUAGGGGAAAGUGGGGUUGUUACAAGUGGUAUCAGAGCCACGUCGCGUGGUCUCUGCGCGGAGUGAGACUGGGCCAAGUGGUGUUGUGGUCCUAAUUUCAUGAAUUUGUCUAAGUGCUCGUUUGAGCGUAAGUUAUGAACCGGGUAUGUGAUAAGUGUACGAAUCAUUAUCAUGGGAAUCGAGGAAGCUAGGUAUGUAUGUCGGGUAGGAAUCUUUAAUAAGGAUGGUUUACUCUUGGGACCGGCCGGCUCGAGUUGUGAAUUAUCUUAGAUAAGAUUCUUGCGCCCGGAUACGAAAGAUAUGAGGGCCUAGGUUAGAAAGGAUUUGGUGAACUAGGAAAGCCAUUCCUCGGUGGAUCGUCUAUGUUUGUACUUGACUUAACUGGCUGUGUAUAUGUGUGUGGCUUAAUUUUGACCGGCUUGUAUAUAUAUGUUUUGAUCUUGUUUGGAAUGUAUAAAUGUGUGUUAUCAUAAAAGUUUUGAGUGUUACUUACAUGCAUCGUGCUUAUUUUGGUUUAGUAUUAUUGCCUAGACCAAGUAAAACUCAUGGAAGGUACACGGAGUGGUCGGGGACGUGGGCGCGGAACUAGACAACCCACACCGGUUAGGGGUACGGGGGAAACCUCUACUGGACCCAAUCUGGAACCGCAAGUAAACCCUAAUGUGCAAAUAGCUGCUGCUAUGCAGCAAAUGACAGACUUGCUAGCACAAGUGGUGCAGCAACAGGGCCAAAACCCAAACCCUAACCCUGGAAACCCUGGUAACCAUAUCGAGAGCGAAGACAGAGCUCUCGAACGAUUCCAAAAGUUCGCUCCGCCAAAGUUUGUUGGGGGACCCGACCCAGACGUUGCCGAAAGAUGGCUUGAAAAGAUGGUGGAUAUAUUUGCAACCCUACACUACCCUGACGAACGACAGGUGACUUUUGCCGUGUUCCAGCUUGAGGGGGCAGCCCGUUCCUGGUGGAACGUAAUUCGGCAGAAGUGGGAACGAGAACAGACACCUAGGACUUGGGUGAACUUCAUCAGAGAGUUCAAUGCGAAGUUUUUCCCUCCCUUAGUUCAGGAAAGGAAGGAAGAUGAGUUUAUUCGACUCUGCCAAGGGGCUCAAUCAGUGGCGGAAUAUGAGAGCCAAUUCACCCGCCUAUCCAAAUUUGCCCCUGAACUGAUCAUGACCGAGCAGCGGCGAAUAAGGCGUUUUAUCCAGGGCUUGAACGUAGAAAUUCAGAAGGAUCUCGCGGUGGCCCAGAUUAAUGCUUUUAGCGAGGCCGUAGAGAAGGCGCAACGAGUAGAAAAUGCCAGGCUGCAGGUGAAGAACUUCCAAACCAAGAAAAGGAGCUUUCCUGGGAGUAGCUCUGAACAAGAAGGUACAAAUACACCCCCUAAGAUUGGAAAGGGAAACGGAGGAGUACGACAACCAGGGGUGUCGCGUGAUGUCCCUCAGGGAGGACCGGUCUCUGCUGCUCGUGGUCCCUGUGGAUAUUGCGGAGGGCCAAGUCAUACGGAAACAAAUUGCUGGAAGAAAGAAGGAAAAUGCUUGCGCUGUGGAAGCGCUGAACAUCGGAUUGCUAACUGUCCAGCUCGCCUGCGCGAGCGGAGAGGGACUCUGCCACCAACCAAGCCCAAUUCUCAGCAACCCGCCAAGAGCAACCCUGGACAGACGAAAGGAGAAGGGACGGGAUUGAAGGCACCAGCUCGAGUAUACUCUCUAGAGCAGCAUCAGGUCCCUGACUCAUCUGAGGAUGGAGAAGGUAUGGUCCGUUGGGUACUUUAGAUUUGAUAGAUUCCGUUGAUAAGAAAAUUUCGAGGACGAAAUUCUUUUAAGGGGGAGAGAGUGUGAGAACCCGUAUUUCCCUAAUAUUUUCCUAGGGUUUUAGUUCCUUUAAUUGCGUAAUUUUUGCAUUUUCUGGCUUAGAAAUAUUUUCUGGAUGGAUUUUAUGAGCAAUUAUGGUUUUGAGAUGAUUUUUCUAGCAUUGGAGAAUUUUUAAAAAAUUAAGAAUAUAUAUUGGACGUGGGACCCACUAGUGCGAAAAGUUCGGAAAAAUUCGGCCAAUUAGGUUAAAUUUCGGAUACUGGUGGAAAUUUAUCGGGUGUUAAGAGAUAAGUAGAGGGUGACAUGGCAUUGAUGUGAGAGGAAUCAAGUGAUAGGAAGGCAUUAAAUGAAGUGCCAAGUGGCACUAUGUGAUUGGUCCACUUGUUGGACAUUUUUGACUUUUCUUACCAUGGAUUAAAUAUCUCAAAAAUUGACUAAAAAAUUCACUCUUUCUUACCUCUUGUUGGCCGACUCUUGAGAGCUCAAGAAGGAAGAGAAUUGCUUCAAAUUUCAAGCUUCCAUAUAGCUCAAUCUUCCAAACCACUUGCCUAACUUAGUUUCUAUUCCAUAAAAGCCUUCCAUUAGGUGCUAGUGAGUUGCUUAGUGAAGUUUUUUGGAAGAGCUAAGGUGGUCUACAACUCCUCUUCUCUUGUUUACUAGGUAAGUGAUGAUUGAACAUUCUUUUAUAGCUAAUGAUGUUGAAUUUAUGCCUAAUGGUGGCUAUUGUGUUAGAAAUUGUGGAUUAUUUCUUGGUUUGAAGUGAUUUGGUUGAGUUUUUUAUUUUUUGAGGAAUUUUCUGGUUUCAUAUGAUCUUGAUGGUGUGGUUGUUUUUGAUGGUUGGUAAUAAGGGGCUUUGGCUCUAGUAGGUGCAUAUGAUAGAAAAUUGCAAUCAAUUUUGGAUUUGGAAGAAUUUCUGGAAAAUUUGGGUUCUUGGUUGAACAUUCUGUCCGAAAUUUUAGGUCAUAGAUAGAGGCCGAAUUGGACUUUACUCAAAACAUAAAAGUUGUAGGUAUUGAUGAGUUUGAAGUGCCUGCAAAAUUUCAGGGCAUUUGGAGUAGUGUAGAGUGAGUUAUGCCGUUUUUACUGUUGCUGUUCUGGGUGAACAGAAUGUGCGAACUGCGAUAGUAAUUGUCUGUUUUGACUGGAAUUGGUUUGGAUUUUGUUGUUGGUGUCUUCUGAUGAAAUGUAGAGGGAUGUCUUAGCUACCUUAUGCCUUUGGAAUCAAUGCAUUUGGACCUGUAUAGACCGAAUUAUACUGAUUACAGUUUUGUGUGAUUUGUAAAGCUGCAAUUACGGUUCAGGUUGUGGUAUUCUGCAUUUUCGACCUAGUUGUGCUAGGAUUUGGACUGAGUGGCCUUCUACAUUAUUGUAGCCCUGUUUCAUAGCUUCGAAACGGUGGGUCUUACACCCCCAUCCGAUGACCGUAGAGAAUUUUACACCAUUACCGCAUAAUAAGGGCAAAACAGUUUUCUAUUUGGGGCCAAGACUAAGGCCAUUUUCUAAUUUCUGGUUUGCUAUUAUGCUCAUUUAUGCAUAUGAAACCCUAUUGGGGUUGUGUUUAGCAUUGCUAUAUGACUCGUUAUCGAGUCUCUUUUAGGGCUUGCUUUCAUUUCGGUUGUUUCCUACCUAACUUUUGUACUUGUACUACUUUGAGCCUAGUGAACGGCUUUUGGGAAUGAGAUGACUUUUGUGUGAGGUGUUGGGACUGAUUUGAGGAAAUAAUGAAGCCUUAAUGGCUGGAAAAGUAAGAAUUUAGGGGAAGUGCUGCCCGAUUUUCUAGGCCGUUUGGUUCUUUAAGUUGGAUUUGCCUUUUGGUGAAAAUGAAAGGACUUUUGGGUUGCUUGAGCCUAGAUUUUCAUGUUACCCUUUUAUUCCCGAAAAUCAGGUUUUGCACCCUUGCAUUAGUAAUUAUUUGGUGAGGUAUACGACUAGUAGUCGAGCCUCACAUGUGCACUCUGUUUACUCGAUUCUGGAUGUGAAACCUUCAAUUGGUUUAUUUUGAUUAUUUUAGGGUUUCUUGGCGAUUAAGGCCAAUCUGAAGUGAAAACUUUUGAAGUUGAGCCGGUGAGUGUACCACUCCCCUCCAUUGCUGUUUAACUUGAUUUCUGCUCUGCAAUCUGUUUAUUUGUUCGAGACGAGGGUGUACUUUAUCACACUCGUUCUCUAGUCUGUUCAUAUGCCAAUUUACUAUGCAAAAUUUGAAUCUGUUAUCUGUGUCUGCAUCUGUUCGGAUUUCUAUGACCUAUGAGCUCAAUCCUGUGGCUAAGUUAUUCGAGUCGGGCCGGCAAGGGCCUGGACGAUUAGAUAACGAACCACGGUAGUCUGUUCGGGGAUUGUGGGUAUUGAGACCCUUGAUUCCGGGUAUACUCGAGUAUUACCAUUUCUGUUCGGUUACGGUGAGCGGGCCCGGCAAAGGGGUGUUUGGUGGACGGAAUUCGGUGUAAAGAGGGGUCUACGGACCCGUUGGUUCUAUAUACGUUGACGGAGAGUCAACUGGUUUGGAUCAAGUACUGCGCUGGAAAUUUGGCUCCUGAGAGCCACCUGUAUCCUUCUGAUUUGAAUCAUUAGUUCCUUUGCUUUACAUCUGAUUUGUUAAAUGUGAAAUGCCAUGAUUUUAAUGCUAUCUGUUUGGUACCUCAUUGAGCGCAAGCUCACCCCGUUCUGUUCCUUUUGUUUUCCUUACAGGAAAAAUAAAUACUUUUGGUCUGGAUUUGACAAAUGGCUGCCAAAUUGAGCUAGUGGAACAUAUCUUUUGUAUAGCUCAUGUAUUAAAACCCUAAGCGUACUUUUGGGGCGUUUUCUCUUUUGAUUUGGCAAACCGUGUAUAUGUAUCAACUUUUGAAAACUUUUGUAUGUCAUUUUGGAUUGUUAUCGCUAAAGUUCCGAUAUGAGUGUUUGUGUGCUCUUUCGAUUGGGUUCUGACGGGUCGGUUACUAUUCAUGGCCGACUCCGACUUUGUUUUUUUUUUAUUUUUGUGGGUUCGACUUGUUUUCACGCGGUGGUAUGACCCGAAAAGUAUUAGAUCGUGCUAAUCUGAUCCGUAGUCCUGGCGAGAGCUGAGCAGGCAGUCCGCUAACCCCUUUGGUUCGCCUUAGGGGAAAGUGGGGUUGUUACAACUAACUUCGUCAAAGAGACCAUCUAUUGAAUUUGAGUGUUCGCUUGUCUUUCUUUUUCGCAUUCAAUAGCAUAGCACAGAGGUCUGACUAAUGAUUAACUAAUACAAUAGCAACUAAAAGUACAUACACAUAGUCAGUUUUAACUCGAGCCAAACAUGUCAUGUAUAGAUACCAAGAUAAUAACCAAGAACUCAAGCAAUAAUAAACAAAACUUACUAUCAGAUUUUAAGGAGAAGAACAUAUUUUAUAUUUCUUAAUGGUUAUUAAUGUUAAUAAAAGCUAAAACUUUCCAACAGAAAACAUGUGGCCUCUAAUUUAAUCAAUAACAUAACAGUUUCAAAACUCUAAGUACAUAAAAAAAAGUGCAAAUCAAAAGCAUAAAUCUUAAAUUUGAUCUUGAGUUUUUUAGACAAACCUCAUAGCAACGUAUGCAAACUUGCAAGAACAAAGCACAAAUAGCCUACAACAGAGGCAACUUCAAUUUAAAUGAAAAUUUUAAUUUUGCAAUUAAAGCAAAAAAAAAAAGAAUAAAAUUCAAUGCAGAUAAGGGGGAAAAGUUCAAAAUUUAAAAAAAUAUUAAUAAAUGAAUAUAAAUAAGCAAGAGAGUAAAGGUAAUUUAUUGUUUUUUAUCAGGUGAAAGAUGAACAAGAAAAGAUGGGGGAGGGAUGGGUUAGGUGGCAUGGGGGGAGGGAGUGUAAGUAAGAGGUCUCAGGUUCGAAUCCUUCAACUUACACUAAAAAAAAUGAAAAAUUAAAAAAAAAAAAAAAGAUAGCAAAAAAAUAAACCAUACCACGUGGGGAAAGUGAAGCAACAAGAGCAAAACACCAAUUGUUUUUUUUUUUUUCUUAUCCUUCUUAAACCAAAUAAAUGAUCAUGAUUACUUGUGAAAAAAGCUUAAAGGAAGCAUCAAAUCUAUCAAUGAUCUCUAGGUUGAUCAAUGGUUUGAAAUUGAGAAGGUACAAUAAAGGUUAGAGAAAGAUGGUGUUUUCUCUAAAAGCUUUUCAUGCCCUAAAAAAGUCUAGACUAAACGAAACAGCAAACAAGGCACACACUAAGUUCUCUGGAAAAUUGUUAAUCACUCCUAUUUCUCAUUUAGAACAACAACAGGUCACAUAUCUCAUCUGAGAUAUUAUAACUAUAAUUCAUUCUAAGAAAAACUAUCUUAGGUUCUGUAUAACUUCUUAUUUUUAUGUGUUACCAAAUUGUCCAUUGUGAUUAAAGAGAAAAACACCAGUAGCAGGAGGUUGAAAUUAGUUAAAAAGGAACUUGUCAUGUAAUAAUAACUUUAGCAUAGCAGCCACAACCCCAAAAUCAGCACAAGCAAAAGUUUGUCUCACAAAAUAUAUUGUGCUAAUGACUUUGGCUCACAAAAUAUGUUAUUGAUGUCCAUUACUACAAUUUUUUAUCUAGUGUAUAUAGCAAUUUGACUGUUUGAUAGUACAUUGAUUAUAUACAAACCAGUAGGAUAGCUCAAUUGGCCAGAAUCACAUCAGCAAAUGGAUCUCUCUUUUUUGUAGGUAUUCCACUAAUAAUAUAUAUAUAUAUAUAUAUAUAUAUAUAUAUAUAUUCAAGAAUUCACCAAAUUUCAAAAUAAGGAUUAUUGAACUGGGAGCUGGAUUCGUAUUUUCAUUUUUGGCUUGUUUUUUUAGGUGAAUGGGUUGCAGCAACACAAUUGGAUUGAGAAAAUAUUAACACAAUCACCUACUCAAAUAAACAACCAUUUGUUUCACAAAGGAUCACAUAAAACAAAUAGCACCAGCAAACUUAAAAUAAAUGAAGCAGAAACUGAAGAAAAACUACUAAAAAAAAAGGAAAGGUGAAAUUUCACUUUUGAAAAUAUAGUCACAUAAAAUGAAGAAAAGCUGCUCAUAGAUUCAAGAAAGACAACAAGCUGACCUUCAAGUUAAAGGAUUCCUUGACUGAUGAUAUGAACUGCAGCAGAAGGAACCUAUCAAUUGAAACAUAUGUGUAUAUUAGAAUUUAUUAAUCUGUCUAUUACUUAUACAGGGAAAAUUUGACAAAAAAAAAGGGAAAAACUUUUUCUCACCAAAGAGACUCCAAAGAGAAAGUGUAAAGAUCAAGAUGCUUCUUCUUGCAUUUUGUAAGACAGAGGAGCCAGCACCAUGCACUGAUAAAUACCUCUAUUCCAUUUUUUGAUUUCGUAAUUCACUGGAAAGGUUACAGGCUAAAUGAAUAGGAAACCUAUUUCUUAUCAUAAUUGGAAUAAGGGAAAAAUCACAUCAGAAAAAAUAUUUCUCAUCAUAAUCGUACGGCUGAUGAGAAUUGAAAAGAAAGCAUGAUUUGAGCAGAAAAUUGAAUGGCAAAGCUAAUGAGAAUAGAAUGUCAUACCUAAUCUAACAAAAAGUUCCCAAUUUCGCUCAUUUGAAGUACAAUUAUCAUGUGAGUAUCCAACAAUUCUUGCAACAUGAAAUUAAUAGAAAGAGAAAUGGGUUAACAUGAAAUCAAUUCUUGCAACAUGAAAUAGGUUAAUUUGAUAUUAGAGAAAGAGGAAACCACAGCAAGUGUAGACAAGAGUAAUUCACCUGCUCCUAACUUUCCUCCUUUGAAGUACAAACACCAUAUGAGUGACCAGCAAUCUCUACAACAUGAAAUCAAGUGUCUGCAGGAGUAGCAGUUGACCUACUGGCUUGAAGAAGGAACUCACAAAACCCAUCUCCCAAAUCAUGUAAAAAAUCCCAACUUUUUGGCUAGAAUAGGCGUUUCGAAUUGGGUUUGGUAGAAUAGCCGUUUGGAAUUGGAUUUGCUCAAAAUAGGCGCACCAUAUUUUGGCUCAGAAUAGCCGUCUGGUAGAGAGAAAGGAAGAAAAGACUUCAAUGGCAAUUUGAGAAAGAAACUGUUUAAUGCCAAAAGAAAGAACAUGUUUCGGACAAUUUGGAAGGCAUAUUUGACUUUUCCACAUGGCAAAAGAAAAAAGAAAGCACUAAUAAGGUAAAGAAACAGUUCAAUGCCAAAAGAAAGAGAAGGUUUCGGACAAUUUGAAAGAAAUAUUAAGAGAAGGCUUCAGACAAUUUGCAAGAAAUAUUUGACCUUGUCACUUGUCAAAUAAUUAAGAAGCCACUUGGUAAAAGAAAAGAAAAGCACUAAACCUUCAUCUUUUCUUAUAUACAAGGAAUGAAGAUUACUUUUUUUUUUAACGAGUACAACAAUAUAAUAAAUUAAUAAUGUAUUUGUAAAUCAAAUGAUGGAACGAGCACUAUAAUAGUACAGAACGGCACGACAUCACAAUUGCUGUGUCAUUCAAUCCCAUACCACAAAUUUAGCAUAUGAUAUACAAUUGGGACUUGAGAACCAGUACAAAAAUCUUAAGUGAUUAAAUAUUGAAAAAGCAAAAUUCAUCAGAGAAGAAAAUUUUUAUGUUUGUCACGUACAACUGGCACAUACAUUUUUUUUUAGACGAUAAAUCUAAUCUAUCCUACAUUAAGGGAAGGGGGCGGAUCUAAGGAGGCUAAGAAAUAAUCCGGAAGAGACUGAAUUACCAUCGGACUAGAUAGACGGUGCACAACACACUCGCUUGAAUUUUUUUUGGAAACAAUCCACUUAGAUGUGAUAUUUUUGAUGAUCCUUGCCUCCCACCCCACCAAUUACGUGGUGGCCACUGAGCCAAUGGCCCAGUGGUUAACGGGCACAUACACGAAUGACCAGGAAUCAUGUGCACUCUUGACUAUUCUUCUUCAAUGACGUAACAUUUCUUGGAUGAAUUGGAUUUUGCUGGAUGAAUGAAUGAGGUUCAAUUAUCUUUAAGGAAAAAGACAAUUUAAUAUUAUUGUCUAAAAAGACAAUUGAAUGAGCCAAGAACUGAUGUUUUGUGUUUGUCUCUACUUUACAAUUAGAGAUCAAAAUCGAGAUGUGCAAAAAUUUUGAACAAGCAAGAACUACUAGCCAAUAAACAUAAACAUAGCACAAGAACUAUCGCAACAGGAGAGCCAAAGUGUUUAAUUAAUGGAAAUACUGUUAGAAAGCUGAUCUUCUGCAGUCUAAUUAAGAUUUCAUUGCACUUAAUCUAACUCAAGAAGUUACAGUCCUUAUUAAUCAGAAUUUCUCCUGAUUAAAGAACAUAAUUAUUUUGUUUGGAUGAACAGAAAAUCUACCUACGAAUAUGAGCAAUGAAAGAAUCCAUCUCCAAGCGACUAGUACCGCCUUCCAUAACAGAAUCCUUUACUGCUUUGCUCAAUUCUUUUGCCCUUUGCCUCAUCUCUUCUCCUUCAGCUGAAUCCAUCAAUCUUCUCACAGCAUUUUCAACAGCCAUGGAUGUCACAAGUUCGUCCCGCCGAGACCAGUCCCUUACUGAUAGACCAAUCUUCAGCACCUUUUCCAGUAUUAUUGCGUUUCUGGGCUGCUCAGAAUGCAUAGGCCAUGCUGCCACGGGCACUCCCAUGCUAAUGCUUUCCAUACACGAGUUCCAUCCGCAGUGACUCAUGAAUCCACCUGUUGAUGAAUGUCCAAGAAUCUCCAGUUGAGGUGCCCAAUCCCUCACAAUUAUUCCUCUUCCUUCAGUUCUUUCUUCGAAUCCUCCGGGCAACUGAGCUCUCCUAACUUCUCCCUUGAAGAUAUCUCCUUGAUCUCCAUCCUUCAGUAUCCAUAUGAACUUUUGCCCGCUUUUCUCUAAUCCAAUCGCGAUCUGCGCGGCUUCCUCGUGUGAUACUGAAGUAUUCGAACCAAAGCAAACAAAAAUGACCGAGUUUGGGCCUUGUUUGUCAAGCCACUCCAGGCAAUAGUGUCUCUGUUCUGUGUUUUUCUGCCCAUUGAUCUCAACUGGAUUGAAGGGACCAACAGCCCAUUGCUUGUGGGAAUCGGCAGUUUUGGCUUUUGCAAGAAGAUCAAGGUACGGACCCUCUAUAAACCUGCAUGUGUUGUACAGAUCGCCAGAGAUAAUUGGCAUGGAUUCCUUUUGCAAUUUUAAGAAAUCUGUCACCUCCUGAGGUAAAGAACUUUCAUGUGAUGGAAGACUUUCGAGUGCUUCAAGUAUUUCAGGCUCAAAUACUCUAGGUUUCCCUUCUUGUUCCCAAGAAAACGUGUAAAUAGCGAAGGCUGAGAUACUUAUAAACGUGUAGGACUCUGCAUUCGGUAUUAAACCCACAUCCUUGAUGACAUAUGGCGUAACAGAGUCACAAAUAACAACCAAUCUUCUCGUUGUGCUAGAAAGUUGUUGCAGAAGUGCGUGAACUGGCUCCCGGAGUUUGACGGAUGCAUUCAACACUGGGAUGAGUUGAGUGGGAAAUUUUGUUGGGGCGUUUGGGUCGGGAGGAGGAGCUUCAUAAGAAGGGGUGGAAAAUUCGUGGAAAUGGAUGUUGGAAAUGGCGAGAGGAUCCCAACCUUGGACUCGGACCUUUGCUUGGCGAGUAUGAGUGGCCGUGCCAACAUAGUGAACGGGUAUAUUGUAGGAGGAGAUGAGGCGGGAGAGAUGCAGGAGUUGGUUGAGAUGACCUUGUAAAGGAAGGGGAACCAUCACCACAGUUACUUCAUGUGUUUCUUGAAUACUAGCAAUUUGGUUUUGGACUGUUGAAUGAUCAUUUUUGGCCAUUGGAAGAAUUUGGGAUUUGGAAAUUUUGGAAAGUUCUUUUUACUUUCAGCUUGUUGGAAUUGCCCUGCUCUUAUAAGGCGUGUAAGAUGAAAGAUGCGGUCCUUAGUCGUAGUCAGAAUUACUUGACGUCCAACACGGACUAGUCCAUGGAUUGGUGGCCACGGAAGCAUCUCAAAGCAAUUGAGGAAAAGCUGAAUACCCUCGAAAGAGAAGUGGAUUUUUCAUGUAUAGUGAAAACAAUUGGUUAUUGGACAAAGUUGACCACACAAACUUGACCACCAAGGUUGCCCGGUUAGCAAAGUUUGACUUUGAUCCCAGGACUCAAUUAUUGGAUCUGUAAUAGAACAUGUGUGAGCUGGAUUUCUUUGUCACCUUUAACAAGGAAGCAGCAGAAGAACUGUCCAGAAGAUGUGAACAUGGAGGAUUAGGUGCUGGGACCGUUGUGCAUUGACAUUUGUAAGGGAUAAUUUCCCAAAACCACUCUUCGCGCUUUUCAUAAUAUCACUCAGCCUCUUAAAUUUUCUAAAAUCUUUACUACCUCCCCUGUCAGUUUGACAAAAUCAAGGGAUAAUUCCAAAAACCUCCCUUAAAGUUACUACUAUUGAUUGUUUCACUAGCCUCUCUCUUGGUUUUAAAAAUUAUACUAACCUCUUUUGAGGUCUAUUAUCUUGUAGCAUUUAGAUCCAACCAACAAUUAAAAAGUGAUAUUAGGAGAGAGAAAAUAAUAUGAUUUCACCAUUACCCCUCAUCUACUAAAUUAUUUAAUUAAUCUAAUGCCCACCCAAAUAUUAAAGAAAAUAUUAGAAUUUUCUGUUUAUCAUCAGGGAUUAAAUCACAUAUGGUAUCAAAAAAUAGUAUAUCAUUCUAUAUAUUUUAUUUAAUGUAACAUCUAAAUUGAUCUUUUUAGUUACAAACUCAUCGUCAAACAUGAUCAACAACAAAUAAUCAAAAAAAAUUUAUAACCAAAAUAUUACAAAGAGUGAAAUUUAAUACCAUAAAAUUCUCAACAGCUAACCUUAAUAUGUUGAUAAAAACAUUUAUGAUAUUAAAGUUUGUUCUAUGUAAUAUUUUUGGUUGUAAAUUUUUUGAUUAUUUGUUAUUGAUCAUGUUUGAUAACGGGUAUAUAAUUGAAAAGAGUAAUUUGGAUCUUAUAUUAAAUGAAAAAUAUAACAUGAUAUACUAUUUUUUGAUACCAUAUGAGAUUUGAUCGCUAAUGAUAAAUAUUAAAUUGCAGUUUUUUUUAAUGUGUGGGUUGGUGUUAUAUUAAUUAAAUAAUGUAAUAGAUAAGAGACAAUGAUAGAAUCAUAUUAUCUUUUUUCUCAUAAUAUUACUUUUUAAUUAUCAAUUGGGUCUAAAUGUUACAAGAUAAUUAAUUUCAGGGGGAGGUUAGUAUAAUUUUUGAAAUCUAGAGGGAGGCCAGUGAAAUAGUCAGAAACUUCAAGGGAGGUUUCUGAAAUUAUCCCUAAAACCAAAUGUCUCCAUCAAGGAACUCUUGCCCAUUGAAGGGACCAACAGCCCAUUCCUUGUGGCUUUUGCAAGAAGAUCAAGUUAUGGACGCUCUAUAAACCUGCAUGUAUUACCAACUCCUUCACUCAAAUAAUAACGAAUGUCCAGUUUCACACCUAAUAAUCACCUCAAACUCUAAUUACAUUAUCUAUCAUUAGAGACAAUAAAAAAGGAUAAGAGUACAAAGUCAUAUAGAUCCAAUUUAAACAAAAGAUUCUGAAAUCUAAUUUUACACUUCUUUUAUUCUCAGGCAAUUAUUUGUGAAAAUUAAAAUCAUGAAAAUAAACUACCUAUCAUGAAUACAGGCUAGUAAUUCAAAAUGUUGAAUGAAAAGAUACGAAAUAUUUUCUUCACAUCCUAAAUUUUUGGCCCCAACAAUUAUUUUACAUAUCAAUAACCUUAUCUAGUAAAUAAGCAUUUUUCACUAUUAAGAAACUUUAUAUAAAUCAAAAUAUCAAAAUAUAAUUAUCUAUCCAAAAUAUCAAAAGAAUAGGAUACAAUACAACUGUGCCUGCCCAUAUUCAAUUAUGAUAUAUAAACAUAUGUACCCAUUUUUCUGUUUUUUCUACCCAAAGAAAGUGGACUCAUUCUGACUACUCUUCUUCAAUCAAUUUAAACAACAAAGAAUUUUCACCAUGUUUUCCCAAAAUCGGCAUUAAAGAAAAAGGACAUCGGAAAAAUAAUAAAGAAAAAGCACCACCAUAUUGCACUAACGUAUUCAGUACUCUCUAGAUGCUUGAAAAACUAGUGGCUGACAUGCAUUAUUAGUGAACUUUAGUCCGAGAUACACUUUGAUUUGAACAUUCAACACUUUUGUCUUUCUACGGCGAAAGACCAAAACCUGAUUGUUAAUUGCAUCUUCGUCUUAUGCUGGACAACUAUUUCUUGUUGAAUUCGACUCCUGCAAUAGAUAUUUAAAUCCCUCUUUCAACGUUGGUCUUAAGACAAAGCACCUAAUAAGUCCAGAAGGUUGUGGAAGUAGUUUUUUUUAGUAAGUUCCGUUACAAUGAUAUCUUCAAGAUUGGAAAUUGCUUUGUCAGUGGAAGCCCGCAAUAGACGAUUAGCCAUACCAUGACAAUAAAACAUGAAAAAAAAAAAAAUACUUUUCUUGUUUAUCUCGUAUCCAAUAAAGAUUGAAUGAUGUAACAUUUCUUUGAUGAAUUGAAAACUGCCAAAUUACAUUUUUGCUGGAUGAAUUAGGUUUGAUUAUUUUUGGUUGGGCAAUGACAAAAUGUCCAGCGGACUAUCGUGCCAAGCUCUGUUUUCAUCUCCAAAGAACAUGUUCAUCACUUAAAUUGCCUGUUUGUUUUCUAAGAUUCCCAUUUCUCAAAAUUUUGAUUUUUAUCAGCUUUACUUCUAAAGACUUCCUGUAAUCUAAUCUAUCCAAAUCUAGGGGGAGGGGGAGGCACUAGAAGUAGAAACUCUAUCAGAAAAAGCCACCGAAAGCAGCCACAUAUAAUGACAAUUUGGUGGGAGGCAAGGAUUGAAUCUUAAUCUCCCAACACCACCAAGACUUAAGUGCUUGGCAGUGACCACCAGGUCAAAGGGCUGGUGGCAGUCAUGAUCUUUGUUUAAAUUAGGGCUGUUCACGAAUCGGCUCGCGAGCGGCUUCAAUACGAGCUUGACUCAAACUCGAUCAAUAUCAAACUCGAGCUAAUUAAGUCGAGAUCGAACUCAAACUCGAGUUCAAAAACACUAAAUUCGUUGGCUCACGAGCUCGAUUAUAUAUAUGUUUUUAUUUUUAUUUUUAUUUUAAUAGUAAAAUUAUAUAUAUAUAUAUCCAUAAUAUUUUAUUAUUUGUUAAAAAAUGAUUAUUUUAUUCAUUUUUAAAAAUAAAAUAAUUAUUUUUUAUUUUUUAAAAAUAAAAUAAUUAUUAUUUUUUUAUUUUUUAAGCUCGAGCUUGAGCUUGACAUUUUGAGCUCGUCGAGCUCAAGUUUGAGCUUCAUAAAAUUAAUUGGAGGCUCGACUUAAUUAGGCCAAAAUUCCAUUCGACUCGGCUCGUUUGCACCCCUAGUUUAAAUGUACAAUAGUAUUAGUUUAAACUUACAAUGUAUUGAUUUGUAGAUUUUUAGAGCAUUGUAUAUUCAUUACUUGGGGGAAAAGCCCACGCUAUGCGUGGGAGUUUAGUACUUGUAAUUAAAGAUAAUUAAUAAUUAUUAUUUGGUAUUUUGUAGUAUAAGAAUUGAAGUAUGACAAUUUUAUUAUAUGAUAUUAAACAGAAAAAUCAUAAGUUAUAUAUUAAAUCAAAAAAUAUAAUAUAUAAUGAAAUAUAAUUAUAAGAUACGGUCAACUACUUUGCAUGUAAUUUAAUAGAAUAAAAGAACUACUUUGACAUCCAACACGGACUAGUCCAUGGAUUGGUGGCUGCGGAAGCAUCUCAAAGCAAUUGAGGAAAAGUUGAAUGUCCUCGAAAGAGAAGUGGAUUUUGUUAAUCUCCCAUCAUUUUUCAUGUAUAGUGAAAAUAAUUGGUUAUUGGACACAGUUGAAAAAACACUUUAUACUUGACCAUCAAGUUUGCCAGUUAGCAAAAUUUGACUUUGAUCCAAGUACUCACAAUUAUUGAAUCUGUAAUAGAACAUGGGUGAGGUGGAUUUCUUUAUAACCUUUUAGCAAAGAAGCAGCAGAAGAACUGUACGGAAGAUGUGAACAUGGAGGGUUAGGUGCUGGGACCGUUGUCCAUUGACAUUUGUAAGGGAUAAUUUCCCAAAACCACCCUCACGCUUUUCAUAAUAUCACUCAGCCUUGUGUUUGGAUUGUAUUUUUCAUUUUUUUUAUGAAAAAAUUACUAUAUCAAUUUGAUGUAUGUGAGAGAAAAAAGUAAUAGGAAAAUGUGAUCACGGGAAACAACAACGCAAUUUUUCGACGAAAAACUGCAAUCCAAACAAGGCUAUUUUUCUAAAAUCUUUACUACCUCCAUUGUCAGUUGACAAAACCAAGGGAUAAUUCCAAAAACCUCCCCUGGAGUUUCUGACUAUUUCACUAGUCUCUCUAUAAGUUUUAAAAAUUACACUAAUCUCCUUUGAGAUCUAUUAACUUAUAACAUUUAGGUCCAACCAAUAAUUAAAAAGUAAUAUUAGGAGAGAGAAAAUAAUAUGAUUUCACCAUUGCUCCUCAUCUAAUAAAUUAUUUAAUUAAUCUAAUACCCGCCAAAACAUUAAAAAAAUAUUAGAAUUUGCUAUUUAUCAUCAGAGAUUAAAUCACAUAUGGUAUUAAAAAAUAGUAUAUCAUUCUAUAUAUUUUAGUUAAUGUAACAUCUAAAUUGAUAAUUUCAAUUAUAAACUCAUUGUCAAAUAUGAUCAACAACAAAUAAUUAAAAAAAUUUGUAACCAAAAUAUUACAAAGAAUGAACAUUAUUACCAUAAAAUUCUCAACAACUAACUUUAAUAUGUUGAUAAGAACAUUUAUGAUGUUAAAGUUUGUUCUAUGUAAUAUUUUGGUUGUAAAAUUUUGGAUUAUUUGUUAUUGAUCAUGUUUGAUAAUGGGUAUGUAGUUGAAAAAAGUAAUUUGGAUCUUGUAUUAAGUGAAAAUUAUAACAUGAUAUAAUCCAUCUAUCCCAUUGAAAGUGUCAUAUUUUUUAUUUUGAGAUAUCUCCAAAUAUUUGUCACUUGCUAAAAAUAGUAAAGACUUUUUAUUCAAUUUCACUCUUUUACCCUUUUGCUUAGCUCAGUGGCCACCAGAGGGGCCUUAAGUCCUUCCUUGAAGCCCCCACCUGCAGCUAAAAAAAAUUCAAGGGUGAUGCCAUAGCACCCUUUUGGUCUAGUCAGAUUUGCAUACGUACUAGCUCCUAACACACAAGCUUUCUUAGGCUUCCCCCUCCCUGUAAAUUAGAAUAGAAUAGAUUAUAUAAUUGUUAUCGUUGUCAGAAUAAAAAGGUCCCCCAAUAAUCAAGUUAAGUCAGCUCUUUGAGCCCACUUGUUCAGUAUUCAUGUGUUUGAAAAGUUUAUAUAAACAUGCGCGUGGAGUGAAAAAUUAUUAAGGAACUUGGUUGAGACCUCAACGUGCAAAGCACGCAUAAGAUAUAUGUAAACAAAACAGAAGUUCUGAGCCCACCCUCCAGUAGUUGUUCAGGCUUUUUAUUUGAAUUGGCAUCAAUACCUGAAACCUAUUGCAUUUACAGCAAGUGAUUAAAAUUGGCAACGCUUAAAAGAAGAACUUUAUGUUAUCAGGUACACCUCUACGUAGACUGAAUGAUAACAGGAUUGGGAUUGUUGCGGUUGUGCUUUUGUCUGAUCCUAUAUGGUUGUUGUGCUUAUGUUAUAUUAUUGUAUUUGUAAAAAUUUAGUGUACGUAAAUAAAAUAUUUCAUAUACAUUUGAUACAAUAGUGUAACAUGAUUUUACAUCAAAUGUUACGACAAAUACAAUGAUCAAAGAAUAGGAUACAAUACAACUGUGCCUGCCCAUAUUCAAUUAUGAUAUAUAAACAUAUGUACCCAUUUUUCUGUUUUUUCUACCCAAAGAAAGUGGACUCAUUCUGACUACUCUUCUUAGGCAUUAGGCAUUAGAAUACAAUAUCUAAGUUCUAAUAUGUGAAGUAAGUGAAUAUUUUGUACACGACCGAACUAUUAAAUGACUAUUACGUUCACUCAUAAUUCAACAAAAAAGUUCAAUAUUGAGUAACUAACAUUUAAAAGAAAGGAAAAGAUAACAUCCUAUUGUAUGUUUUAGUUCAAUGUUCCAUUGUGGAGAUAUUGAGGAUAGUUGCAAGAAAUUUCAAUAUUUUAUCACAGGGUUAGAGGAAUUACUAUCAAAAUUCAGGACGAGGAGGGGUGAGACAGUAUUAUAAUUUCUAAAAUUUUUACAGAUUACUUCACAGUUUCUAAAAAAUUGAGGGGGUGGUCUGAAUUUGGCUCUGCCCCUGUCUAGAGAUGUUGAGAAGUUGUGGACCGAAAUCCUCAAAAACUUGUAGCGUCAGAAAAGGCAAUUUGGUUGCUUUUUGGGAUACUUCCUUUUCAUGAAUGAUAGAGAGCUCACAUGGCCCGGCCAAUUUACAGCAAAAACGAAAAGCUUCUUGUCUUACUACUUUGUCCAGUUAAUGAAAAUCAAAAUUCUAUGAGCAUUUCUUCCUUUUUUUUCCCCCUAAAGAUGCCAAAUUCCUUUCGGGAACAUAAAAGUCAGCAUGUGAUUAUAGGAUUUAUGUCUUUUAGUAGCUAGGAAAUUACAAAGAAACCAAAUUGCAUGUCGAUUAGACGCUGGUGGUUUUUGAAAGACUGCUGCAUUUCUUCAAUGCUGACCUGUUGGAUGACAUUUUCCUGAUAAUGACGGAAUAAAAUAAAUUCAUCAAAUUAAUAACAACGAAUCUGUACCUAGGACUAGGAGAAGACCAAAAAACAAACAUUGAAGUGCUUCUACCUAGGACUGAUGUUUUAUUUUUCUUUAUACUUUGACUCAAAUCAUAUGGUGACUACACAGACUUUGAACAAGUGAGGACUAUGGAAUCAGGAGAGCCAGGUGUCUGAUUAAUCGAAAUUAAUACUAUUAGAAAGCUGAUCAGCUGCACUAUAAUGAAAAUCUCAUUGCAAUUGAUUUAACUUAAUAAGUUACAAUUUUAUUAAUCAGAAUUCCUGCUGAUUAAAGAGCAUAAGGAUUUGGAUGAGCUGAAAGUCUACCUACGAAUAUGAGAAAUGAAAGAAUCCAUCUCCGAGCGACUAACACCACCUUCUAUAACAGAACCCUUGACAGCUUUGCUCAAUUCUCUGGCUCUUUGCCUCAUCUCUUCUCCUUCAGCUGAAUCCAUCAAUCUUCUCACAGCAUUUUCAACAGUUAUGGAUGUCACAAGUUCAUUCUGCUUCGACCAAUCCCUUAUUAUUAGACCAAUCUUGAGCACCUUUUCCAGUAGUAUCGCGUUUCUGGGCUGGUCAGAAUGCAUAGGCCAUGCUGCCACGGGUACUCCCAUGCUAAUGCUUUCUAUGCACGAGUUCCAUCCGCAAUGACUCAUGAAUCCACCUGUUGAUGAAUGUCCAAGAAUCUCCAGUUGGGGCGCCCAAUCCCUCACAACAAUUCCCCUUCCUUCAAUUCUCUCUUCAAAUCCUUCUGGCAGCUGAACUCUCCUAUCUUCUCCCUGGAAGACGUCUCCUUUAUCUGCAUCCCUCAGUACCCAUAUGAAAUUUUGCCCACUUUUAUCUAAUCCAGUUGCAAUCUCCUUGGCUUCUUCAUCAGACACCGAAGUUGUUGAACCAAAAGAAAUGAAAAUGACCGAAUCUGGCGCUUGUUUGUCCAGCCAAUUCAGGCAAUAGUGUCUCUUUUCCGAGUUUUUCUGCCCAUUCAUCUCAACUGGAUUGAAGGGUCCAAUAGCCCAUUGCUUGUCUGAAUCGGUUAUUUUGGAUUUAACAUGGAGGUCAAGGUAUGGACCCUCUAUAGCUCUACAAGUGUUGAACAGGUAGCCAGAGCUAAUUGGCUUAAAAUCAUUUUGAAAUUUUACAAAGUCAGUCAGCUCUUGGGGGAAGCAACUUUCCCAUGUUGGAAGAUCUUCGAGUGGUUCGAGUAGUUCAGGCUGGGAUAGUUCAGGUUUCCCUUCUGGUUCCCCAAAAAACGAGUAUAUAGUGAAGGCUGAGGAGCUUGGAAAGCAGUAGGACUCUGCGUUCGGGAUUAAACGCACAUCCUGGAUGACAUAUGGCAUCAGAAAGUCAUAAAUAACUACCAAUCUUCUUGUUGUGCAAGAAAGUUGUUGCAGAAGUGCGUAAACUGGCUCACGGAGUUUGAUCGAUGCGUUGAAUGCUGGGAUGAGUUGUAUGGGAUAUUUUGUUGGGGCGUUUGGAUCCGGAGGAGGAGUUUCAUAAGAAGGGAUGGACAAUUCAUGGAAAUGGAUGUUGGAAAUGGCAAGAGGAUCCCAACCGUGGACACGAACCUUUGCCUGGCGGUUGUGAGAGGCCGUGCCAACAUAGUGAACAGGUAUAUCAUAGGCGGAGAUGAGGCGGGAGAGAUGGAGGAGCUGGUUGAGAUGGCCCUGUGCUGGAAGGGGAACCAUGACCACAGUCACUUCAUGAGUUUCUCGAAUAAUACCAACUGGGCUUUGGACUCUUGAAUGAUCAUCCAUGGCCAUUGGAAAGAUUUUGGAACUGGAAAUUUUGGAAAGCUCUUUUAUUUUGUCAGCUUGUUAGAAUUGCUUUGGUCGUUUGCUCUUAUAAGGUGUAAGAUGGAAGCUGGGGAGAGUCGUUAAUCGGAGUUGGAACUGUUGCUGGUAACUCUUCGGAUGUGUAAUAAUGUUACGGAUUAUUAUCACUUUACUCCCUCAACGUUUGGUGCUACUAUCAAUUUUACCCUUAACAUUAUUUUUUAGUCCCUUAACAUUAUCCAGAAGGUUGUGGAAGUAGUUUUUUUUAGUAAGUUCCGUCACAAUGAUAUCUUCAAGAUUGGAAAUUGCUUUGUCAGUGGAAGCCCGCAAUAUACGACUAGCCAUGCAAUGACAAGAAAACAUGAAAAAAAUAUUACUUUUAUUGUUUAUUUCGUAUCCAACAAAGAUUGAAUGAUGUAACAUUUCUUUGAUGAAUUGAAAACUGGUAGAUUACAUUUAUGCUGGAUGAAUUAGGUUUGAUUAUUUUUGGUUGGAAAAAGACAAAACGUCCAGCGGACUAUCGUGCCAAGCUCUGUUUUCAUCUCCAAAGAGCAUGUUCAUCACUUUAAUUGCCUGUUUGUUUUCUAAGAUUGCCAUUUCUCAAAAUUUUGAUAUUUAUCAGCUUUAACUUCUAAAGACAGUGGCAGAGGCAGGAUCUUUGGUUAGGUUUAAACUUACAAUGUAUUGAUUUGUAGAUUUUUAGAACAUUGUAUAUUCAUUAUACAAGCACGCUAAUUUGUUCAAUAACCAAUGUUACAAAAAUUGAACAAAAAAUCAAUAGCUCGUGAUUUUUUUUCGUUUGCUAGGUUAUUCUAAUCGUAUAAAAUGGUAUAGUAAUUAAAAUUAAGCAUUAGAAUACAAUAUUUAAAUUCUAAUACGUCUAGAAAGUGAAUAUUUUGUAUGCAAUCGAACCAUGAAAUGAAUACUUGGUUCACUUGUAAUUCAUGUGAUUUAACAUUAAGAAAAGUUCAAUAUUAAGUAAAUAGCAUAUGUAAGAAAGGAAAAAGCUAACAUCCUAUCAUAUAUUUUAGUUCAAUGUUUCAUUGUGGAAAUAUUGAAGGUAGUUUUAAAAAUUUUAAUACUUUUGGGGCACAGUCUGAGGGUUAGAAGGAAUACUAUCAAAAUUCACAAGGAGCAAGAGUGAGACAAAAAAUUUUAAAUUUUUUACAGAUUAUUUUACAGUUUCUAUUGAGGGAGUGGUCAGACUGCAUGUGGCUCUGCCACCGGCUAAAGAUGUCGAGAAGUUGAAGGCCGAAAGUCUUAAGAACUUGCAGCGUAAGAAAAAGGCAAAUUGGUUGGUUUUUGGGGUACUUCAUUUCAUGAAUGAUAGAGAGCCAAAUUCCUUUUGGCUACAUCAAAGUCUUCAUGAGGUUAUAGGAUUUAUAUCUUUUAAUAGCUAGGAAAUUACAAUGAAACAACAUUUUUAAAUUUAAUAAACCAAAUUGUCCGACCACUAGAUGCAUGUGGUUUUGUAAAGACUGCAUUUCGUCCAUCCUGACCGGUUGGAUGACAAUUUCCAGAUAAUGACGGAAUAAAAUAAGUUCAUCAAAUUAACAACGUACGUAGGACUAGGAGAAGGCCAAAACACAAACAUUAAAGUGCCUUCUACCUAGGACUGAUGAUGUUUUGUGUUUCUUUAUAUUUUGAAUCAUGCGGUGAACAAGUGAGGAUCAUGGAAUAGGAAGAGCCAAGUGUCUAAUUAAUCGAAAUUAGUACUAUUAGAAAGCUGGUCAGCUGCAGUUUACUGAAAAUUUCAUUGCAAUGGAUUUAACUUAAUAAGUUACAAUUUUUAUUACUCAGAAUUCCUGCUGAUUGAAGAACCUAAUGAUUUGGAUGAACUGAAAUCUACCUACGAAUAUGAGCAAUGAAAGAAUCCAUCUCCAAGCGACUUAGACCACCUUCCAUAACAGAUCCCUUGACAGCUUUGCUCAAUUCUCUGGCUCUUUGCCUCAUCUCUUCUCCUUCAGCUGAAUCCAUCAAUCUUCUCACAGCAUUUUCAACAGUUAUGGAUGUCACAAGUUCAUUCUGCUUCGACCAAUCCCUUACCUUUAGACCAAUCUUGAGCACCUUUUCCAGUAGUAUCGCGUUUCGGGGCUGGUCAGAAUGCAUAGGCCAUGCUGCCACGGGUACUCCCAUGCUAAUGCUUUCUAUGCACGAGUUCCAUCCGCAAUGACUCAUGAAUCCACCUGUUGAUGAAUGUCCAAGAAUCUCCAGUUGGGGCGCCCAAUCCCUCACAACAAUUCCCCUUCUUUCAAUUCUCUCUUCAAAUCCUUCUGGCAGCUGAGCCCUCCUAUCUUCUCCCUGGAAGACGUCUCCUUUAUCUGCAUCCCUCAGUACCCAUAUGAAUUUUUGCCCACUUUUAUCUAAUCCAGUUGCAAUCUCCUUGGCUUCUUCAUCAGACACCGAAGUUGUUGAACCAAAAGAAAUGAAAAUGACCGAAUCUGGCGCUUGUUUGUCCAGCCAAUCCAGGCAAUAGUGUCUCUUUUCCGAGUUUCUCUGCCCAUUCAUCUCAACUGGAUUGAAGGGUCCAAUAGCCCAUUGCUUGUCAGAGUCGGUUAUUUUGGAUUUAACAUGGAGGUCAAGGUAUGGACCCUCUAUAGCUCUACAACUGUUGAACAGGUAGCCGGAGCUAAUUGGCUUAAAAUCCUGUUGCAAUUUUGCAAAGUCAGUCAGCUCCUGGGGGAAGCAGCUUUCCCAUGUUGGAAGAUCAUCGAGUGGUUCGAGUAGUUCAGGCUCGGAUAGUCCAGGUUUCCCUUCUUGUUCCCAGACAAACGAGUAUAUAGUGAAGGCUGAGGUGCCUGGAGAGCAGUAGGACUCUGCGUUCGGGAUUAAACCCACAUCCUGGAUGACAUAUGCCAUCAGAGAGUCAUAAAUAACUACCAAUCUUCUUGAUGUGCCAGAAAGUUGUUGCAGAAGUGCGUAAACUGGCUCGCGGAGUUUGAUCGAUGUGUUGAACACUGGGAUGAGUUGUGUGGGAAAUUUUGUUGGGGCAUUUGGGUUGGGAGGAGGAGUUUCAUAAGAAGGGAUGGAAAAUUCAUGGAAAUGGAUGUUGGAAAUGGCAAGAGGAUCCCAACCGUGGACGCGAACCUUUGCCUGGCGGAUGUGAGAGGCCGUGCCGACAUAGUGAACAGGUAUAUCAUAGGAGGAGAUGAGGCGGGAGAGAUGGAGGAGCUGGUUGAGAUGGCCCUGUGCUGGAAGGGGAACUAUGACCACAGUCACUUCAUGGGUUUCUCGAAUAAUACCAACUGGCCUUUGGUAUUGGCUUUGAACUCUUGAAUGAUCAUCCAUGGCCAUUGGAAAGAUAAUUGGAACUGGGAAAUUUUGGAAAGCUCUUUUAUUUUGUCAGCUCGUUAGAAUUGAUUUGCUCGUUUGGUCCUGUAAGAAUUGAUGGAAGCUAGGGUCAUUAAUCGGAGUUAGAAUCUGUGGCUGGUAACUCUUCGGAUGUGUAAUAAUGUUGCGGGGCAACAUUUUCCAAUUCAUCCAAGUCUUGUGCGGUUUGACGAAAAUGAGCCCCGUACUCAAUCCAUUAUUGUGGGACAAGGGAGAAAAAUGCGAAAGUGACAAUGUUGUAGUAGGCCCUCCCCAAAUGUGUGUCAUAAAUUGAUGGAAUCUUCUCGAUAUGAGUGGCGGGUGUAAAAGAAAAAAAUAACUGUUCGAAUUUCGAAAUGUAAUUUGGCUUUUCCACUUUCUUCUGUUUUGUAAAAUCUUGUUAUUACGAGUGAAGAAUAGGAUAAGAUAGUAGAUUCAGUGGAUAAAAGGAACGUAAGUAAUUUGGGAAGCGUAUAAAAGAAAAGUAGAGUGACUUUAAACUCAUGAUCUCUUGUAUUUUGUCACUUAGUUGAAUUCUCUCGCAAGUGGUUUAACUUUUUUCAAGUUAAAUUUCGAAACCAUUAAAGAGUGAAAAUUUAAUAAUAGGAUAGGGGUGUGUGCCAUUGGAUUGUCCAUGAAAGCGCCAAGGGUAGGCAGGCUUACAACAUCUCUCAAAGAUCAAAAGAGAAAAAAGUUGCUAGUUGAAUGAGCGUGUAUUUCUGUUUGAAUUAACUAUUUUUGAGUGUGUUUUUGAAAAAUUUUAUGAUAUUAGUGUAUAUAAAAAAAAAUUUUGAGAUUUUUUUUUGAAUUUUAUAUAUUUGUAUAUUAUUAUAAUAUUAUAUUUAAAAAUUUUGUUUUUUAAAAACAAGCAAUCCAAACAGAGCGGCACUUUCCUCUUUCAUAGUCAUAAAUUCUUCACCUCUUACCCUUAAAAGGGAAAAAAAAAAAAAAAAAAACUUCCAUCCUUUAUCACCUUAUACAUAGAAAAAGGUAAAUUAAACUUUCAACCACAUCAAAGUCAAUGCCAGUACUUCUAAUAAAUUGUCUUCAGCAAAACUUAUCUACCACAGCAAACAAAAGUAUAGACUCGUCACUGUAAAUUGCCCGAAUUUGACUUUUCUUCAAUCAAAUAUCGUCCUUGAACAUGUGAGACACUUGAGAAUGAAAAUAAAAUCUCAUGUGCAAUUUCUCACUCAUUAACAUGAGCAUAGCUUUUAAGAACAACUUUUUCUUCUGAUGAGCGACUAGCUGAAACCCCUACCCGAAUUUCACUUAAACCACUUAAUUUUAAACAUUUUUUCCCAUCACUCCUUGCCAUACUAAUAUAUUUUGAGCUUUAGGACAACCAUUCACAAUUCUAUAGUUUUAUCAUUGAUUAAAUCUCUAUUUAUCUUGCUUCGAUUCAAUAACCUAUAGGAAUAACAAAUUCUCACGAGAUCCUUUUUUCUAAUCUCGUUUUUAACACCCUAAAUCCAUCUGACUUUUCAUGAUAAAAUUUAUGGUCCAAUCUUCACGAACUAAAUAUUGCGGGACCAAUUUUUGUGGCUUUGCUCGAUCAGAACUGUAUGUUAUCAAGUUCACAGCUCACCUCAACAUAGAGGAAUGAUACCUGAACUGUAUGUUAUCAAGUUCACAGCUCUAUGCAGUUGUUUUAUAUUUUUUUGGAGCACAAUACGCUACAUCGUUGUAUUUCUUAAAAAUAUUAAUAUACAUGAAUAAUAUAUAUGUAUAUAUAUAUAUAUAUAUAUAUAUAUAUAUAUAUAUUCGAUAUAAUGAUAUAAUGUGAUUGUAUACCAAAUAUUAUAACAAAUAUAGUAAUCGAGGAAUCGGAUUCAAUACAAUUGUACGUCCCCCAGAUUCAACGAUAACCAGAUGGGCCCAUUUUUCUGUUUUUUUACCCAAAGAAAAGUCGACUCAUUCUGACUAUUCUUCUUCAACCAAUUUAAAAAAUAAAUAUUUUUCACAAUGUUUUCCCAAAAUCAGCAUUAAAGAUAAUGACGGAAUAAAAUAAGUUCAUCAAAUUAACAACUUACGUAGGACUAGGAGAAGGCCAAGACACAAACAUUAAAGUGCUUCUACCUAGGACUGAUGAUGCUUGCUGUUUCUUUAUAUUUUGAAUCAUGUGGAGUAUCGAAUAAGAAGAGCUAAGUGUCUCAUUAAUCGAAAUUAAUACUAUUAGGAAGCUGGUCAGCCGCAGUUUUACUGAAAAUUUCAUUGCAAUUGACUUAAUAAGUUACAAUUUUAUUACUCAGAAUUCCUGCUGAUUGAAGAACCUAAUGAUUUGGAUGAGCUGAAAGUCUACCUACGGAUAUGAGCAAUGAAAGAAUCCAUCUCCAAGCGACUAACACCACCUUCCAUAACAGAGCCUUUGACAGCUUUGCUCAAUUCUCUGGCUCUUUGCCUCAUCUCUUCUCCUUCAGCUGAAUCCAUCAAUCUUCUCACAGCAUUUUCAACAGUAAUGGAUGUCACAAGUUCAUUCUGCUUUGACCAAUCCCUUAUUAUUAGACCAAUCUUGAGCACCUUUUCCAGUAGUAUCGCGUUUCUGGGCUGGUCAGAAUGCAUAGGCCAUGCUGCCACGGGUACUCCCAUGCUAAUGCUUUCUAUGCACGAGUUCCAUCCGCAAUGGCUCAUGAAUCCACCUGUUGAUGAAUGUCCAAGAAUCUCCAGUUGGGGGGCCCAAUCCCUCACAACUAUUCCUCUUCCUUCAGUUCUCUCUGCGAAUCCUUCAGGCAACUGAGCUCUCCUAUCUUCUCCCUGGAAGACAUCUCCUUUGUCUGCAUCCCUCAGUACCCAUAUAAAUUUUUGCCCGCUUUUGUCUAGCCCAAUUGCGAUCUCCUCGGCUUCUUCAUCUGAUAUUGAAGUUGUUGAACCAAAGGAAAUGAAAAUGACCGAGUUUGGCGCUUGUUUGUCCAGCCAAUCCAGGCAAUAGUGUCUCUUCUUCAAGUUUUUCUGUUCAUUCAUCUCUACUGGAUUGAAUGGACCAAUAGCCCAUUGCUUGUCCGAGUCAGUUAUUCCGGAUUUUGCAAGGAGGUCAAGGUAUGGACCCUCUAUAGCUCUACAAGUAUUGAACAGGGAGCCAGAGGUAAUUGGCUUGUUAUCAUGUUGCAAUUUUACAAAGUCCAUCAGCUCCUGGGGGAAGCAGCUUUCAAGUGUUGGAAGAUCUUCGAGUGGUUUGAGUAGUUCAGGCUCGGAUAUUCCAGGUUUCCCUUCUUGCUCCCAAACAAAUGCGUAGACAGUGAAGGCUGAGAUGCUUUGAAAGCAGUAGGCCUCUGCGUUCAGGAUUAAACCCACAUCCUGGAUGACAUAUGGCAUCAGAUCGUCAUAUAUAACGACCAAUCUUCUUGUUGUGCCAGAAAGUUGUUGCAGAAGUGCGUAAACUGGCUCGCGGAGUUUGAUCGAUGCGUUGAACGCUGGGAUGAGUUGUGUGGGAGAUUUUGUAGGGGCAUUUGGGUUGGGAGGAGGAGUUUCAUAAGAAGGGAUGGAAAAUUCGUGGAAAUGGAAGUUGGAAGUGGCAAGAGGAUCCCAACCGUGGACGCGAACCUUUGCCUGGCGGUUGUGAGAGGCCGUGCCAACAUAGUGAACGGGUAUAUCAUAGGAGGAGAUGAGGCGGGAGAGAUGGAGGAGCUGGUUGAGAUGGCCUUGUGCUGGAAGGGGAACCAUGACCACAGUUACUUCAUGAGUUUCUUGAAUACUUCCAUUUUGGCUUUGGUUUUGGUUUUGGCAGUGAACUGUAGAAUGUUCAAUUAUGGCCAUUGGAAAGGUUUGGGAAUUGGAAAUGUUAGAAAGCUCUCUAUUUUCUCAGCUUGUUAGAAUUGCUUUGAUUAUAUAAGGUGUAUGAUGAAAGCCAUAGGGUCCUUUUAUUUUUAAUUUUUUUAGAGGGUAAAAUACAAAAAAGUCCUUUGUGGUUAAGUUAAUCCAUGAUAAAGCCCCUUAUGAUUUCAAAUCAUACAUUUCGACCUCUUAUGAUUUGAAAUAACAAUGGAAAUCAUCAAAACUAAUGGAGGGGAACGAAAUGACACAAUUAUCCUAGUAUAUAUAAGCAAUAAACAGUUGGUGGGAUAAAAUCCAAACCCAACGAAAUAAACAGUUGGUGGGAUAAAACCCAAUUGUUAAUUCAGAUGAUUUUCGUAGGUUUUUUAAAUUAGUUCAAACAAAGAGAUAUCGGAGUGUAUGUUUUAAAAUUAGAGGGGGUUUUCUGUAUGUUCGCUUAAUCUCAAGGGAUUUUUCUAUAUUUUGCCCUUUUUUAAAAUUAAGUCGGGGGUUUCAAACUUGAGAUAUCACUAAAAGUCCUUGUUAGUUUAAUGUAGAUUCUGUUGACUAUAGUGUUUUCCAUUUGAAUAACCUAGCAGACUUAGAUUGUAAUGCAAGUCAAUAAAAUUUCUGUUUUUUAACCCAAAGAAAAGUGGACUCAUUCUGACUAUUCUUCUUCAAUCAAUUUAAAAAGGGGUUAAAUGCUAAAAACCCCCCACAAACUAUAUAUUCAGUUGCAGUUUACCUCAUAAACUAUACUAAUAGGCAUUUUGCCCCUUGAAUGAUAUGUUUGGACAAUUAUUUCUGGUUGAAUUCCACUCCUGCAAUAGAUAUUUUAAUCCCUCUUUCAACGUUGAUCUUAAGACAAAGCACCUAAUAAGCCCAGAAGGUUGUGGAAGUAGUUUUUUUUAGAAAGUUCCGUUAGAAUGAUAUCUUCAAGAUUGGAAAUUGCUUGGUCAGUGGAAGCCCGCAAUAGACGACUUAGCCAUACAAGGACAAUAAAACAUGAAAAAAGAUUACUUUUCUUGUUUAUUUCGAAUCCAAUAAAGAUUGAAUGAUGUAACGUUUCUUUGACGAAUUGAAAACCGCCAAAUUACAUUUUUGCUGGAUAAAUUAGGUUUGAUUGUUUUUGGUCGGACAAAGACAAAAUGUCCAGCGGACUAUCAUGCCAAGCUCUGUUUUCAUCCCCAAAGAGCAUGUUCAUCACUUUAAUUGCCUGUUUGUUUUCUAAAAAUCCCAUUUCUCAAAAUUUUGAUAUUUAUCAGCUUUAACUUCUAAAGAUAGAGGCAGAGCCAGGAUCUUUGUUCAGGUGUACAAUAAUAUUAGUUUAAACUUACAAUGUAUUGAUUUGUAGAUUUUUAAAAACACUAUCUAUUCAUUAUACAAGCACCCUAAUUUGUUCAAUAACCAAGGUGAUAGCUCAUGAUUUGUCGUUUGCCAGGUUAUUCUAAUGGUAUAAAAUGGUAUAGCAAUUAAAAUUAAGCAUUAGAAUACAAUAUUUAAAUUCUAAUACGUGUUGUCAGUGAAUUUUUUUUUAUACAUGAUCGAACUAUUAAAUAACUAUUACGUUCACUUGUAAUUCACGUAAUUGAACAUUAAAAAAUUUUCAAUAUUAAUUAAAUAACUUAUAUAAGAAAGGAAAAAGAUAACAUCCUAUUAUAUAUUUUAGUUCAAUGUUUCAUUGUGUAAAUAUUGAGGGUAGUUGUAAAAAAUUUUAAUACUUUUGGAGGACAAUCUUAGGGUUAGGAGGAUUACAAUCAAAAUUCAGGAGCAAGAGCAAGACAAUAUUAAAAUUUCUAAAUUUUUACAGAUUAUUUUACAGUUUCUAAAAAAUUGAGGGGUAGUCUGAAUGUGGCUCUGCCACUGCCUAAGAUGUUCAGUAAGUUGUGGACCGAAAUUCUCAAAAACUUGUAGUGCCAGAAAUGGCAAUUUGGUUGGUUUUUGUGGUGCUUCCUUUUCAUGAAUGAUAGAGAGCAAAAAGGAAAAGCUCUUUGUCCUACUACCAUGCAUAUUUGUCUGGUUAUUGAAAAUCGAAGUUCAAUGAGCAUAUCUUCUUUUUUUUUUUUCAGGACUCUUCUUAAGCCAAAUUCCUGUUGGCAACAUAAAAGUCUAUAUGUGGUUGUUGGAUCGUAUCUCUUAGUAGCUAAGAUAUUCCAAUGAAACAACAUUAUUAAAUUUAAUAAACCAAAUUGUACGACUAUUAUGCAUGUGGAUUUUGAGAGACUGCAUUUCUUCCAUCAUGACAUGUUGGAUGACAAUUUCCAGAUAAUGACGGAAUAAAAUAAGUUCAUCAAACUAACAACCUAAGUAGGAGUAGGAGAAGGGCAAAAUACACUUUGCUCCCUUGUGGUAUAGCCACGUCUUAUCUAAUCCUUCUAUAGCUUUAAAAGUUAUAUAUAACCAACCCUCUCAUAAUUUGGAUUAAAGUAUCAAAAUGACGGAAAUGAUUAUUCAUAACGAAACCUAUAAAAAUAUCGAAAUUACCCUUAUUUAAAAACAAAAAUGGCUGAAAUAAUCAAAACAUAUAAAUAUAAAAUACAUGACACUCUAAUCCCAUAUAAUUUAAUACUUUACAAUAUAACCCUCUUGUGGUUUUCAAAAUAUAUACAUACCCCCAUGUGGUUAAUAAAUAAUUUUCAACUUUACAUAGAGGUAUUUUUGACAUUUUAGUUGACUCCGUCAUGAAUUACAAAUUUUAUCACUUUGACACUUUGAUCCAAAUUAUAAAGGGGUUAUGUAAAGAUUUUGAAAUCAUAGGGGAUUAUGUAUAGAUUUUGAAAUCACAAGAGGUUAUGUAAUAAAACACUAAACUACAGAGGAUAAAGUGUAAUUUGCCCUACCUUGAAUCAUGUGGUGGACUACAAAGAUUUUGAACAAGUGAACAGUGUCGAAUCACAAGAGCAAAGUGUCUGAUUAGUCGAAAUUAAUACUAUUAGAAAGCUGAUCAGUGGCAGUAUAAUAGAAAUUUCAUUGCAAUUGAUUUAACUUAACAAGUUACAAUUUUUAUUACUCAGGAUUCCUGCUGAUUGAAGAUAACGAUUUGGAUGAAGUAAGAGUCUACCUACGAAUAUGAGCAAUGAAAGAAUCCAUCUCCAAGCGACUAACACCACCUUCCAUAACAGAAUCCUUCACAGCUUUGCUCAAUAGUUUGGCCGUUUGCCACAUCUCUUCUCCUUCAGCUGAAUCCAUCAAUCUU
rnacentral:lncRNA from 1 species